rnacentral:lncRNA from 1 species
AUUUUUUUUUUGUUGAUUUAUAUCAUUCAUUUACUAAAAAUCAAAAGUAAUAAGUACUAAUAUAAAGAAAAUCUUGGAUACUUUAAAAUAAAGAUAAGAAAGAUAUUUGUUUAAUUAAAACCUUUUCAUCUCAAUUAAUAGUGUGGAUCAACUUAAAAUUCCUCCACCCGACUUUUUAUUUGGUAUGAGUUUUGGUUAGGUUAAUCAAAUCAUGGUUGAGUCAUCUAAAAAUUAUAGACGUUAUUAUUUUAUUUAAAAGAAAAAUAAAAUAACAUUGAUUUAAUGUUUUCUUUGUAAAAAAAAUACUAAAAUAAUAAAAUUGUAAAUAAAUUCAAGUUAAACCGAGUUAACUCAUUCAACAUAUGAUCUAGGUCAUAGCCCAUAUCAAGUUUAAUAACCUUAUCUUUACUUAUUUAUUUUUUAUUUAAUUGAAUGAUUAACGAUCUAAAAAGUAAAAAUGAGUAUCUUAAUCAAAAUUUAAAUAAAAAUAAUUAACACAAACUAAAAAAGAAAAAAAGAAAGAGGGUUUGAAUAAAAAUGGAAAGAAAAAAAAAAGAAAGAGGGUUUUAAUAAAAAUGGAAAGAAAAAAAAAAGAGGCUAACCCGUAGCUUGCCAAACCCAAGCAUUUAGAAGAAAAAAAAAAACCCAAGCUCGGUGUGCUUGUGUGUUUUUUUUUUUACUAUGUAGGGUUGGCAUGUUAUCUGCUACAGUAAGUGACAUAUCAUUCAAGAACUCAGAUUCCGACCAUCACAAUAGUGGAUGGAAAAUUAGGGUUUAACUUUUUAGACCUUAAAAACCUGUUUUUUCAAUCAUUUUCUCACCUAAAAAAACUCUAAAGCCCUUUGACACCCAUUUGUGGUACAAAAGUUGGAAAACAGGGUUCUAAAAUGACAAAUCAGGUCAAUUUUAAAAUUAUUUUAAGACCCGGUCUACUUUUUAGGCAAGAUGAAGGCCAAAGAAUGCAUCAAUAGAACUCUUCUAGUCAAAAGAAACCCGUUGACUUCAAGAAUGAUCUUUUCCAUAACCAAAAUCAUUAUCAUUUGAUAACUUUAUUUUUUUUCUUGUUGCUUUUUAAUGACUUUCUCUCUUCUUUCUAAAACCAAAGCCAAAAUGAAAAGAAAAUAAAAUUUUAAAAGAAAACAUUUGAUCCCCAGACUAAAAGACACCGUUUGGGAAAGCAGUGCAAACCGCGUUCCUAAAAAAAUCAUUUUUGUUUUGCUAAAAUUUAAUAUGUUUUAUAUGUUUUGGAUCGUUUUAAUGUGUUGAUGUCAAAAAUAAUUUUUAAAAAAUAAAAAAACAUUAUUGACAUGUAUUUCGGUACUAAAAGUUAUUUGAAAAGCAACCGCAACCACACUACCAAAUAAGAGACAAGAAAGGAACUUUGCCAAAACUCAUAGGCAAAAUUGAGCAAAAAAGCGUAGUGACUAAUUUGUUUUUAGAAUAGGGCUGUCUUUUUCAUUGACAUUCAAAUUUAAUCCUUUAAUUUUUAAUAUCAUGUAAAUAAUAAAAAUAAAUAGAUUCUUGUAAAAUUAAAAACCAAUCUAACAAUGGGAUGUUUAGUUAAGAUUAUAGUAGUUUUAUGGAAAUCAAAAAAUAACAAUUACAAAAAUUAAUUUCAAAUUAACACAAUGUAAAAUGACUAAAUAAAAAAAUUGAAGGACCAAAAAUAAAUCACAGCACUAAUUCAUAAACAGUAAUUUCUGAGGGAAUCCAUGAAUUUAGCAAAACUUCUAGUGUUUUUUUUUUAAUGUAAUGUAAUUGUUAUUAUUUCGUAAUGUAAUGGGUGCCCAAGACUCCUUGAUGUUACAUGGAGUUUCAUGGCAAUACAUGGGCCUCAAAUUCAUCGUAAGAAAAUGUUGAUGGCCAUGACAAGGUUCAAGUAUAAUAAACACUUGAUCAUACGUAGACAAGUGAGAAUGGUACACGUUCACGACAUGACAGCAAACUAGUCCUCCGAGGGCCCCCAAGUUCCACCUAAUUCAAGGCUUCUAGUAGGGAUAAUGCCUUCUUCUAGUAGGGAAAUACCAACUUUUUAUCUAUCUAUAGAUAUUUCCACAUAUUCUUCCAAUACAAAUCCUCUAUGCCUUUUAUAACUCCCUUCAAGGUUUUCAUGGAGAAAAAGAAACCUAAAGGUGGUGACAGCACUGGUGAUUUAACCCUAGUAAAGGCGGCUGCAUGGGCAUGGUACCAACAUGGAUCAGGGUCAGAAGGAAAGCCUAUGUGUGAAUCUUAUGUUACAAGUACUCGUCAAGCUCCAAGACCGUCAAGAUACAAGCUAGAAGAUAUGAGGUUGAGAGUGAAGGAAGAUACCAUGGAUGGCUCAGGAGCACCUAGUCCAAUCGGUGCAGAUAAUUCUCUACUUGAUAACUAUGAGGUAGAGAGCAUUUCAAAGCACCUUGACUAUCUUAUGGAGUCAAGCAGCAAGAGAUCUUAUGGCGUCGAGAUCUUUGAUAGAGAUGAUCAUCUUCAUCGCGGAAAAAGUAUUUCAUUAUUGCAUGGUGAUCAAACUUGUGGAAUGAAGCAGAAGAAGAACAAGUCGAAAUUUUUCUUACAAGGUUGGUGGCUAAGACAUUCGGUUGUUUGUGGCACAAGGGAAGAUGUGGUGAACAUACAAGAGCUUUAGCGCGCUGCGGCAGCAGCCGGAAAGGCAUAUUCCGGUAGUUGGGUUGUUGCCAGUCGAGCCACAAGAACUGCCAAUGGUGGGUGAAUGUACAGCAGCUUCUUAAAUUGUUACCUACACUAACUUUUAUCUCUUCUAUGACUUUUUUCCCUUCUUUUCUUUUUUUCAAUGGAAACACUUAAAUAUUACACUACGAAACAUAGAUAACUUUCCCUUUCUAUCAUCUCAAAGUAGGAAAGAUUUGAUCUCGUAUAAGCAUAUAAAAAUUACACAUGUUUAAUAUUUUGAUUUUUAAUUAGUUAUUUUUUUCUUUUUUUAACUCAAUUAAAAUAGGUGAGUUUAAUAAUUAAAUUCAUUUACACUAAUUUACUAUCAUAUAUAUAUAUAUAUAUAUAUAUAUAUAUAUGUUAUAUAUAUAUAUAUAUAUAUAUGUUACAAGUUUGUGUUAUAAGAUCUUAUGAAGGUGCCUCGAAGGAAAGGACAAAAACAGUAGUUGGAGAGAUCAAUUAUAAGAUUUGAUUUCGACUAGGUACUUGAUGAUGAACUUGUACAAACAUCAAUCAGCAUCACUGUUCUUCUUCUGAUGCCACAAUUAGACAAAACAAAACCACUAGCACCGACUGGUCCUGUGUUGAAUUGCUCUUUGAUGCUGCUUGUUUAGGACGAAGUAUGGUUCAAGCUAAGCUGCAUUAUUGGGUGAGGAAAUUAAGAUAAGAUAGGAUAAAACAAGGUGAAAUCGUAGUUAUUAAUCAAUAAUAUAUUUUAAAAAAAUUAAUCCCCAAAUGGACAUGAUAACUAUGGUAAAAACCACGGUAGACUGAAAACAUUUCUCCUGAAUUAACCUAAUGGUCAAGGAGUUGAUUCGAAGAAAUUCCUCCUCUCAAUUCUAAAAAUGAAGAAUGGUUGGACAACAAUUUGAGAGGCUUCUCAUGCUUGAUGACAUCCUGUCCACACCUACCAAAAGUGACCCCAUGUCGGUCACAUGUGAUUCUAUAUGUGCGUGUGAGUUCUAUUUUCACUACGUAGGUAAAUUUGGUCAUAAAAUUAUUGUUUUUUAAGAAUAAAAUGGAAAAUUGCAAGACUGCUCUAAAAUUACAAAGAAAAAGAAAAUAAUGACAGUGUCGUUCCCUGUGAGAAAGGCAUUGUGCAAUUGGGGCAUUUUGCUCCAGAAACGAGAGCAGGAAAAAAAGGGGUAAUGUUCAUCAAAUUUCACUUCAACUCUUAUCUUAACUUUUAAUCUAUCAAAAAAGAAAAAGAAAAUUAAUUAUCUCUAAUUUAACUCAAGAUUUCAAUAGCUUCUGACUAUUACAACAUCUAAUGGAGGAUCUCCUUGUGAAUUUAUUUUAAUUAAGAACUUCUUUUUGAAAUCUUAUUACCAUAUGAAUUUUGUAAAGAAAAUAAGGGAGGAGAAGAGGAUGGAGUGAAACAAAAGAAUGGAAAGGCGCCCCUUUUGUUUGUGUUUUUAAUUUGAUCCUUAUUGGAUUUUUUCGGUUUAGCUUUCAACUCGUCUAUGAUUAUCAAAUGAAUGCAGCAACAAACCAAGAAACAAAUGAAAUGGCUACUUUCAAACUCCCUAAAACCCACCUCUCUCCUCCAAAAACCCUCUGCGCCUUCUCCACUUGGUACUCACCACCCCCACAACCCCCACCAAGACAGUCGCCGCCGCCUUCACGCCAUGAAUCUCCAAUUCUCACAACGAUCUCUGAAGCAAUAAAAAACAUUGAAACAAAACCACUUCACAUUUCUCUCAAAAACAUCCUACCUUCAUUCAAAGCCCAUCACUUUAUUAGCCUCGUUAACCAAAAUCCUUACUUUCUACCUCCAAAAUCCCUCCUUUCUUUCUUUGACUUUCUAUCUUCAUACCCUACGUUUAGCCACACAGUUCAGUCUUAUUGCAGUAUGGUUCAUUUCCUCAUUGCACAUCGAAUGAACCAACAAGCUGAGUCUUUGCUUCAUUUUGUUGUUUCACGUAAAGGGAAAGGAUCAGCUUCUUCAGUUUUUGCUUCAAUUCUUGAAACUAAAGGUACCCUUUCGUCAAGUUUUGUUUUUGAUGCUUUAAUGAGUGUGUAUACUGAAUUUGGUUACGUGUCUGAUGCUAUUCAGUGUUUUAGAUUGACAAAGAAGCAUAAUUUGAAAAUCCCGUUUAAUGGUUGCAAGUGUUUGCUUGAAAGAAUGAUUAAAAUGAGCUCUCCUAUGGUAGCUUUGGAGUUUUAUCUGGAGAUCUUGGAUUCUGGGUAUCCACCAAAUGUGUAUACUUUUAAUGUUUUAAUGAAUAGAUUGUGUAAAGAAGGUAAAGUUAAGGAUGCUCAAUUGAUUUUUGAUGAAAUUCGGAAGACAGGUCUGCAGCCCACUGCUGUUAGUUUUAAUACUUUGAUUAAUGGUUAUUGUAAAUCAGGAAAUUUAGAGGAGGGUUUUAGGUUGAAGAUGGUAAUGGAGGAGUUUAGGGUUUUCCCUGAUGUUUUUACUUAUAGUGCUUUGAUUGAUGGGUUGUGUAAGGAGUGUCAGUUGGAUGAUGCGAAUCAUUUGUUUAAGGAAAUGUGUGAUAGAGGGCUGGUUCCUAAUGAUGUUACUUUUACCACAUUGAUUAAUGGGCAGUGCAAGAAUGGGAGAGUUGAUUUGGCCUUGGAAAUUUAUCAGCAAAUGUUUACUAAAGGUUUGAAAGCUGAUUUGGUCUUGUACAAUACACUCAUCGAUGGCCUUUGUAAGGGUGGAUAUUUUAGGGAAGCAAGGAAGUUUGUUGGCGAGAUGACUAAGAGAGGUUUGAUACCUGAUAAAUUUACGUACACUACACUUCUAGAUGGUAGUUGCAAGGAAGGAGAUUUAGAAUUGGCUUUGGAGAUGAGGAAGGAAAUGGUAAAAGAAGGUAUUCAGCUGGAUAAUGUAGCCUUCACAGCCAUUAUUUCUGGAUUGUGUAGAGAUGGAAAGAUUGUAGAUGCAGAGAGAACAUUGAGGGAGAUGUUGAGAGCGGGUUUGAAACCAGAUGAUGGUACAUAUACCAUGGUCAUGGAUGGGUUCUGUAAGAAGGGUGAUGUGAAGAUGGGAUUUAAGUUGCUCAAAGAGAUGCAGAGCGAUGGACAUAUACCAGGAGUGAUCACUUACAAUGUGCUUAUGAAUGGACUCUGCAAGCAAGGCCAGGUGAAAAAUGCUGAUAUGCUUUUGAAUGCAAUGCUCAAUGUGGGUGUAGUUCCAGAUGACAUUACUUACAACAUUUUAUUACAAGGGCAUUGCAAACAUGGGAAACUAGGAGACUUCCAAAAUGUCAAGACUGAAAUGGGGCUUGUUUCUGACUAUGCAUCUUAUAGAUCACUACUGAAUGAGUUGAGCAAAGCUUCUAAAGAUCGUCAAAAGAGAUGAUUUCUGACGGUUGCAUAUUUCAUGUACAGACCUUUGAUAGUUGACAAACUUAGAUUUGAUCUCUCAGUUGAUCAGAGCGAAGGUAAGAUCUUUUAGCAAACUGGCUAAUUGAUUUACUUGACUUUAGAUUUCUGGACGCAAAACACAGAGUUUAUAGCACUUGUAACCUACUGUCAUAUGUCAAGGAUUGAACUGUAUAAAUACAUACCUUGUAACAAGUAGAACGAUUCUUUUAUCCAAAAAUAAAAUAAAUAAUUAGAAAAACAAGAUCUUUAAAGUUUUCUUGUCAGCAAGAGUAGCAUAGCUUUUAAUGGGGGUAUCUGCCAUGUACUGUUUGUUCACUUCUUUCUGUCCUCCCUUGCUCUGUCUUUAAUUUCAAUUUAUGACCAUUUUUUAAUGAAGGGAAUGCAAUGUCUAGUGGAUUAUGCUAUAUACUGCAUCAAUUCUUCACCAUACCAUAACCAUCUUUUGAGACCGUAGUUCUUGUUGCAGUUACUGCAUGCUAUAAACUUUUAAUAAGCUUAUCCUUGACUCUACUAACCCAACUCAUCUGGUUUAAGUCCAUAAAUAGUAGAGUCAGCUGAUCAUCUUAGUUGCUACAAUUAAUAAAAAAACUUACUGCUGGUCUAUGAGCUGAUCGUUUAAGUUUUGUUGAUUCAUUUAUUUAUUGUGUCAUGCCUCUCACAAAGUACUGCUCUUUGUAGCCAUCAUAGUUUCAUCUACUCUUACUUGAAACAUCUCUUAAACAUUGUUUUUGCAAAUGCAACAAUUACUUGCUACUAUAAGAAUGCCAUUUGUUUUCAGGAAACAUUAUCUUUGACGCCAUAUCUUUACUGUUAUCCUAUUGCCAUAUUUGUGUAAUGCGCAGACAUUUCAAAGCAUUAUUGAAGAGCUCAUUCUGUGAGCAUAGGUGUAAACUUGAUCUUGGGCUUAAGUUGGUUUUAUGAAUGAAAUCACUUAUAUGUCCUUGAUCCUUGUGAAGUGUUUGAAAUCCUUAGCUUCAAGAUACUUUUUAAACUUUUUGCUAAAUGUUCUGUAUUUUGCCGGUUGGAUUCACUUAGAUUGUCGCCUGAAGGCAUAUAAUAUGAUUGAACUUCAAAUCUCUACUACACGAACAAAAUUUAGUUUCGAAAUUUUAGUAAUGAUUUAUUGGUGAAUUGUUCUUUAUUUUUUGGUAUAAUAGGAUAAGAAGCUAGACUGGCUCCUCAAGAAACCAACACCACAGAAUCACCAUGUAAUGCUUGCAGAACUCGCAAAUAAGAGAAGACUUUAGGGAGAGAGACUACUAGCUCAUUAAUAUCAGAAUCAGAGGACCUAAAUUUGAAGUUCAGACCAUUCAACAAAGGAAUCAGAACCAGAGGCACCCAACUUUGCCAUGAUGUCACCACAGCUUUUACCCUCUCCAAGAACGAGUAAUUUUGCAGGACCAGGUGCUGUUAAGCAGCUCAUUAAUAUCAGCAACUAGAGCAUUGUAUGGAUGAAAUAAAGAAUUGCCCUCCCUGACCAUAAGAAAGGCUUCCUGAGAGUCAACUUUAAGAAUCAUAUUUCUAAAUCCCAAGCUCCCAAGCAUGAUGUAAAAUUGUAAACCUUGCCGCAUAGCUUGAAGUUCAGUUCAGUUCAGCCACCAAAACCUGAAUAAAUUAUUCAUACAAGAAUAUUUUGUAUCAGAGAAUUAUAUUAUUUUUUUAAUAAUUAGCCCAUAAGUAGAAAAUUUCCAAAAAAAAUUGAAAGGUGACAGUAGAUAUAUACAUGUUGUUUUUCAACUAUAUUCAUAUCAUAUUUCAUAAGUUUUUAACAAUAAAUUUAAAUAUUUAUAUUAUAUUUAUCGGAUAUCUAUUAUUUAAAAAUUAUUUAUUAUUCUAUAUAUAUAAUUUCAUCAUAUGUUUUUUUAUCCUAUUUAUAUGUGCACAACAUUAAUAUUAUAUAUAAUUUUUAUAAUUUAAUCAUGGACUGAUUUGGAUUGGAUUGUAGGUCGGAUAAUAUUUAUAUCGUAGUAAUGAUAUUUAUCGGAUUUGAAAGGAACAGCGUCGUUUCUUGUUAUAGAGCAUGGGUAGGUAGUUUUUGAACAGUGAAAAGCAACCACGAAUCAGUUUCAGUCGACCAAGACAAGGCAAGAAGCCAAAAACGAGAAGAACCAAAGAGACAAGGGAGAAGAGAAUGCAAGAAAUGGGGAAGCAGCAAGCUCUAAUUUUGAUCCAGAAAAUGGUGAAAAUCCCUCCUCUUCAAGCCUUAUCACUCUUCAACUCCUCGAUUCAACAAGGCUUCCAACACACUCACCACUCCAUUUCUUUCCUUCUUCAACACCUUCUUGACCAUCACAAACUACCCCAUGCACAAUCUCUCAUCCUCCAAAUACUUUCCAACAAAAUCUCCUCUCCCUUUUUCACUGUCCCAUCUCUUCUCCACCAUUUAACACAAAACCAAAACCCAUCAAUGACUACUGCUCUUCUCUAUGAAUCAAUCAUCAAUGCCCAUCUUAAAUCUCAAUUACUAGAUAAGGCUCUCAUCUUUUUCAAUGAAAUGGUUGAUAAAGGCCUUGUCUUUCGACCUAACAUUUUUAAUAGUCUCUUGGGUUCUCUUGUGAGAUCAAAUUGUUUUGAGAAAGCUUGGUUGUUUUUUAAUGAAUUGAAAGAGAGGGUUAAGUUUGAUGUCUAUAGUUUUGGAAUAAUGAUCAAGGGUUGUUGUGAAAAUGGUAAUUUGGAUAAAAGUUUUCAACUUUUGGGUCUAUUACAGGACAUGGGUCUUUCUCCUAAUGUUGUCAUAUACACUACUUUGAUUGAUGGUUGUUGUAAGAAUGGUGAUAUUGAAAGAGCUAGGUUGUUUUUUGAUAAGAUGGGAGAGAUGGGUUUGGUUGCUAAUCAGUAUACUUUUACGGUAUUGAUUAAUGGGUUGUUUAAGAAAGGACUUAAGAAAGAUGGUUUUGAUUUGUUUGAGAAGAUGAAGAUUAAUGGGCUGUUUCCCAAUUUGUAUACGUAUAAUUGUUUGAUGAAUGAGUAUUGCGGUGAAGGAAAAAUAUGCAGAGCUUUUGACUUGUUUGAUGAAAUGCGUGAGAGAGGUGUAGAAGCAAAUGUUGUCACGUAUAAUACUUUGAUCGGUGGCAUGUGUAGAGAGGAGAGGGUUUGGGAGGCUGAGAAGUUGGUGGAUCAAAUGAAGAAAGCUGCUGUUAGUCCUAAUUUAAUCACAUAUAACACAUUAAUAGGUGGAUUUUGUGAUGUUGGGAAUUUGGAUAAGGCUUCAAGUUUACUAGAUCAAUUAAAGUCAAAUGGUCUGUCUCCAUCUUUGGUGACCUACAAUAUUCUCAUUGAAGGAUAUUCCAAGGCUGGAAAUUGGAAAGGAGUUGCUGAUUUAGCAAGGGAGAUGGAGGGGAGAGGCAUUUCUCCUUCUAAAGUGACAUGUACAGUUUUAAUUGAUGCUUAUGUUCGAUUGCAAGAAAUGGAGAAAGCAUUUCAAAUUUAUUCCUCUAUGGAGAAGUUUGGUUUGGUUCCUGAUGUCUACGUCUAUGGUGUGCUAAUACAUGGUUUGUGCAUGAAAGGUAACAUGAAAGAAUCAUCAAAACUGUUUAGAUCAAUGGGUGAAAUGCACGUGGAACCAAGUGACGUGAUAUACAAUACAAUGAUCCAUGGUUACUGCAAAGAGGAUAACUCCUAUAGGGCUUUGAGGUUGCUUAGAGAAAUGGAAGCUAAGGGGUUGGUUCCAAAUGUGGCUAGCUACAGUUCUAUCAUCGGAGUUCUAUGCAAGGAUGGGAAGUGGGAAGAAGCUGAGGUUUUAUUAGACAAGAUGAUAGAAUUGCAACUAAAACCGUCAGCUUCCAUCUUAAACAUGAUCUCCAAAGCCAAAAAUUUUACAGAAUUGAAGAUUUAAAGGACUCUUGGCAUGAAGUGGCAAAGCAGAAUUCCAUGAAAGAUGGAGCCUUUGAGAUAAUGGUAAUAUUGGUAAAAGAAUCCGCAAAGAUUUGAAACACACACCCACAUUUUGGGACAGACUAACAGAGACUGCAAGACACUCAGUGUGGGAGAGGGCACUGAAAACGAUCCAAUCCUGUUGUAUAGAAACUAAUAUCAGCAGUUCCGUAUGAAUGAACCAAGAUUUUUAGCAUGGUAAGGCAUCUAAUAUUUUACUUAUUUGAUCAUUUCAAUUUCACACAGAAAUUUGUUAAAAAAAAAUCACACACAUGUUUUGAGUAUCCUUGUUCUUCAUUGCAACACAUUACUUUUUAUGGAAAUAUAUAGUUAUGUCCAAAGCAUGUACCUUAACAACUAGUUUCAGUAUAAUGUUAGGACAAACAAUAAAAAGAAGAAGAAUAAAUAAACAUACAGUUGUUGCAAGUUCUUGAUCCGAUCCAACUUUGGGGCAAGGAAUCCCCUUAAAAAAAUACCUGGAUACGUUUCUGCAAAAAUAUAACUCCAACAAAAAAAUGGUUAUAACUUGAUUCACUGAUAAAUGCACCUCAUAUGUACCAUGUGCUAGGAUCUAAUUAGAGAAAGACUAGCAUAUAUAAUACGGAGUUUUGAUAGAAAAUUUUGAUGUAUCAUAUCUUACAUCUUUAAUACAUGGUCUCGAGCAAAGGAGCUGGAAAUGCCAGACCAACUGCAAGGAUCUUCAUCUGAGGCAUCCCAACAAAACGAUACCUGGGCCGUCGUACAAAGCUUUCUUUGAAUUUUGUAAGCACCCUAACUUUUCAGAAGUCUAUAAAUUCCAUUUUGUGAAAAGUACAAGACUGCCAAAAGUUUCCAGGUCACUAAAUUUCAUUGAGUACAUUACUUUUAACACUGGAAUUCAGAUCACAUAACUUCCAAUCCUACUCGUGCUAUUUGGUCACCAUGUAACUGUAGGAAGGAUAGCAGAUUGAACCUACUUGGAAUCUUGAAUUUUUUAAAUUGAGUACACAAUAAAUAACACCACUCAAUGUAGCCUAAUGACACUAGUUAGCUCAGCUUAGAACUAUAAUAACAAAGUGAUAAAGCAAAUACCUUCAUCUUUAGCUAAGGAUCAGUCACAGGUCGCAAAAAGAAUUAGAGAAACAACACAAACAAGUUGCAGUGCUGCAUAUGGUUUUUAUUUCCUCUGAUUUUCUUCUCUAUUGUCUCUACCAGCUGCUAUCACGAACUCAAUCCACUAUUUUCUCUUUUGCACAAGAUUCUAUAUACAUUAUGCUUACUUCUUUGUUUUCAUAUCUAUUUGUUACAUAAUCAGGGGUUCACCCUGUCCCUUGUCGUGAUAAUUUUCUCAGAAGUCCUGUCCCUGCAUAUGGUAGGUUGAUGGCUGUGUGUGUUUAUGCAAUUCAUUUAAUGUAAUUACAUGUGCAGAUUUUGCUUGCAGCUCUUAUUAAAUGGAAAUUUGGAACAUCUGGAGACGUGACUUAAAUGUCACAUUGGUAUGCAGGUAUAGUUGUGGCAUGUAUCUGCUUCUUUGUUCCUGCUUUCUCAAUGCCAAGUGAAAUCCGGUCAGCCGAGCAAAGCAUUGCACUCUCGGUUAACAUGUUUUUCGCCUUCUCUAUUGCUCAAUUGUUUCUUCCUGUGCUUUCCCCCAUGAAAUGUGGCUUGUUCAUCUUCUUUGCGAGUUUUGUGGCAAUUAUGACUUCUUUAUUUAUUCCUUUCUUGCCUGAAAGAAAGCACGUACCAAUUGAAGAGAUGUAUAAAGUGUGGAAAGAACAUUUGUUUUGGAGGAAAUUCAUGCCUGUAGAUGAUCACCGAGCAAAUGUCACCUCCAAUGGAGAACCUUAUUUCAGGCAUCCAACCGGGAGGCAUUUUGUGCUAAAGCUUCAGAGUAUCGUUUCUCCAACUCGAAACAUGUAAACUGCCGUGGAGAGUAAUUUUUUUUAAAAAAAAUGUCUUAUUAAUUUGUUCAUGUCAUUUUUGUAAUAUAAUUGACGUGUUGUUAAAUUUUCAUGUCAUAUUAAAAGUGAAAAGAUUCAUAUUAUGAUUAUAAUUCAUUAAAUUGAUUAUUUGGAAGAAAAAAAAUUAAUAAUUUAUAAUAAAUUCAUUGAUUGGUCCAUGAUUUUUAAUAUAAUUUAUUAAAUUGAUGAUUUAUAUAAAUUUAAUAAUAAUAAAUUCAUAGGUUUUGCUGUUAAAAGUUAUUGAAAAAUACUUAAAAAGUCAUUGAUUUGGUUUAUUUAGACAAAACAAAAUUGAAAAUACUUUAUAUUUUUGACAUCCUCUGUCACCGGCUCUGGUUCCCAUCUUGAGCACCGCACCCAGCCACCCACCACCAGCAAUGGUAUUGCAUCGGAUUCAGUUAUAACUUCCAGUAGAGCCAAAGUUACAGCAAAACGCACGGCCUCCCAUUGCCCUCCUUGAGUAGGAGAGCUUCAUAUACCUGCCACCCACAACCAAACCUGCCCAAUUCCUACAGUGCCGGAAAAAGCUCUCCCCCUCCUCAAGGGAGCUUCCAGGAAAGGACCGCUGCUCCUCUGUAUACAAGGUUAAUAUAAUUCCCAACAAAUAGAGAUACAGCCGCCUUCCUAUCUACUGCUCUUUAUAUGGUAUGCACAAAAUAAAUACGAAGCCUACAAAUAAACCAAUAUUUUAAUUUUGACUAUAUCAUAGAGAGACAUUAUUCUAAAUUACUAGAUUUGCACAUAAAUGCAUGUUCGAAGACCCGACUCGGCCUCAGACAUAGCCCAAUCAACCCACAAGUUGGCUAGUUGAACAUGAAACUCUACCUGACUCGGGUAAAGCUGGUUCGUUUUAUGGUAGAACACAAAUGGUCUACCAUUCUCUAAAAAAAUAAAUCCAAUGACGUACCAUAGCCAGCCAGGAAAUGAUCUACCGUUCACUUUCUACAAUUUUAUGUCGCCAUUUCCGAAGAAACGGAUUGAUUUUGAAACACAUGAUAUUCCUUUCUAGUUUUAGCAUUAACAGACCAUAGCGUAUAGGAUGAAAGUCAGUAUCUGUAACCAAAUUUAUUAUUGUUCAAUUUCCCUUUUACGAAUAUCCUGUUAAUAUCCUAUUUGAGGUUGCGGAUCAAUUUAUUUUUCAAUAAAAUUUGAGAUUUUUUUUGUUUUAAUUUUAUUAUUAAUAUUUUUGAAUUUGCUGAUAUUUACAUUUUAAAAAAUUUAUUUUAAUAUAUUUUUAAAUAAAAAUAAUGUGAAAAUCAAUUAUUUAGCUAGAAAAUGAAGUAUAGAAAGAAUGAGACAGGGAUAAAAGAAAAGCUGGAAUGGGCUGCAUUGCAUCCCUGUAACAAGGAAAAGUUAGGGGAGGAAGGGGGACCAUGCUGAGCAGUUGUAAGAGUUUAGCAUACAAAAUGGGUAGCAGCCUGCCAUGGCCAGCCAGGAAAGCAGAUCUCUUUCCUCUGGUUGCUUUCUUUUCAUUUAUUGAUUCAAGGAAAACUACAUAAUGGCAAUUUGCCAUCAUAGCUAGCUUGGCCUAGGGUUUGGUCAUCCUCUGCAGAAAGUGAGUGAGAUUCUACGGGCGUGCGUGCACUGGAUGCUAGUAAUUUUUUUGUGGUUAGUUUCUCAAGAAAUGGCUGGUUCACACCCUUUAAGCCAGCUGUUCUCUCGUCUCUUCCCUUCCAAAGUCGUCUUCUUUCAUCACCCUUUUCUGCUACCUUCCAAGACGUAGAUAACGAUGUUUUCUUCGUCUUAAUUAAGACGAACCACUUUUCAGAUCUCCUCAAAUGGCUGCCAUUAGUUUGGACUUUAAACCAUGUCUUAGUUUUCGAAUUCUUGGUGAGAAAUGAUUAAAAGCAUGGGUGGCCACUACGUAAGUCUGUGAUUUCGUGGAUUAGGGUGUCCAUUGCGAUGAGACAAGACAGGUUCAGUCCCACGGGCUUAGCAUUGUUUAAGAGUUGGUGCUCAUAUUAAUGGUGGUUUAAGUUAAAAACAAUGGGAUUUAUGGUUAAUGUGAUUUGUCUCUAUGUCAUUGAUUUUUUUGCUCGAAUCUUGGAAUCAAUAUAUACAAAUAAUUCAAUCCUCUAGGUACAUGAUGGCAACAAUUGAAAGAUGUGUUUUUAAAACAUCUAAAGAUAAAUUCAAGAUAUAUUAGAUUUUAUUGUAUUUAUAAAAUAUUAAAGAUAGAUUUAAGAUAUAAAUUCUUUACUAAACACGUUUACUUAUAAGAGAUUGGAAAAAAAUGCUUAAAUUAUAAGCAUAACAUGUUUAAAAACAGUCUUAAUCUCUGCAAAACAAUUUGAAAAUACUUAUAAUCAUAAAAAAAAAUAUUAUAUAAAAUAGUGUUCAAAUCUUCAAAUAUGUGCACCUAUUAGGCAAAAUCUGUAUUUAUCCUCAAGAGGCCUGCGUAGAAAAUAAAUCCUUAAAAUAUUCGAGGAAAACUCAAAUUAAUUUCCAUCUGGAUUCUAGUUAAUUACUCUCUUGAUGGCUUAAAUUUGAGGGUCCCUUCAAUCCAAUUGAUGACUCCUAUCAGUUUCUAUCAAUCAAAUAGGUCAUGUGUUCGCUUAGACAUCUGUUACGCAAUUAAUUUAAUUGGUGGAAACUGAAGCAUUAUCAAAUUGAAUUGAAUUCUUCUAUAUUUUAAAUGCAGUAGACUAGAAUGAAUGCAUGAAAGUCUAGUUGAUAUUGGAAAUAUACUCACGAAGGAUAAAAAAAAAAUGUUUUUAUUCUCUUUAAAAUGUUUUUUUUUUAUCUCAUAAAGUACAGAAAAAACCUAGAAAUUGUUCGCAUCUUUUGCUAUGAAAUCUUAUAUUGCUCAAAAAACUGUAAGCUCUAGACACUUGCCAUAAAAAACAAAAUUAAAAAGAAGAAGAAGAGAGAAAUAGAAGAGAAAAUCUUAUAAAAAGGAAAUUCUUAUGAUUUUUUUACGGGAUCGGAUCUCUUUACUAUGUUGUAAAUAUCAAGUAAGUUACCGUUUGAGUUUUUUCCCAUGAUUGUGCUACAAAAUAGUGUAAAAAAUUCAAUUUCCAUUUAAUGAGUUGCUUUUAAAAUGGCUUAGAUGUGAAGCUAGUUGUCUAUUAAUCUAGUGGUUAAGAUAUUGUUAUAUUCGUGUAAAUAUAAGAAUACAAGUUUUGAUUCUUAAAAAGCGUAUUUAUUGAGAGUGACAGUCACGAAUCCUGAACGAGACUAAUCUUAUCCUUUAAAAAUUUACAAGAAUACCCAAGUAAAAACUAAAGAACAAAUAUAGAGCUAGUUGACUUGACAAAUAAUUUUUAUUAGUUUUAUGCCAAUGAAAUUAAUUAUGUGGGGUUUUGUUAUAACAUCAUUUAAUUAAGAUUUAAAUUACUUGAAUUGCUUCAUGUUAACUCGAUUUGAAUGCAUUUCAUCCUCUCUUUUUUAUCUUUUAAUUAAAGAAUGCAAUUAACACAAAAUAAAAAUAAAGAAGCAUGAAUUGAUUUUCGAAAACAAACACAAGAUUGAAAAGAAAGCAGUGUCACAGGCAGUUGUCACGCUCCCGUGCAUGGAUAUUCUACGAGCUCAUCAUGAUUAACAACAUCUUGCAAGAGUGAUUGACUGAAUCUAUUUAUUUAUUCAUUCAUGACAUGUAAGAAUAUUUUGGUAACUUUUUCCUGAAAAGAAAAGAAACUGCAAUCCAGGUAGUGGAGCAGAGAGCAGGAAGGAAAAUCCAUGGUUGAAAGAGUGAAAAAUUAGAACCGACAAAUCAUGAUUUACCAAUGAUGUAUGGUGUAAGUGGGGCUGUGGAUAGGUUUAAAAGUGUGAGAGAUUUUUAUAUUUCAACUUUUUUAAUUAAAAAAAAAAAAAACAUUGCAUAUUUUAGUCAUGUGAAUGUCGGGAAUACAAGGAUACAAUCUUGGUUCGAAGUCGGCAAAAGAGUUUGAAUAAGCUGUCUUCCACCCGGCAUGCACCCAACUAGUAUGGAGCCCUCCAUUACCUUGCACUAACAAUCCUUGAAUAGUUUCAAAAUAUCAUAGUAGUUUGCUGAGUCAAUCCGGUAAUUCAUAGUUAUAAAUCUAGUUUGGAUAAGAUUUUAUUUCAAAUCUAUUUGUAAUUUUACCCGAUUUAACUAACUUGCUUGAUUUUAAUCAUACUCGUUCUAGUUAAUUUCAAUAAUUAUUUUUUAAAUUUUUGUCUGAAAUAGAGUAUUUUUAUUAAAAUAUAUAUGACAUUUUAAGUUGAUGUAGUAAAUCUAUAAUUCAAAUCUUAAACUAGAUUAAAUUAUAUACCAAGUUAAGUAACUAGCUAGGAGCAUAACCUCUAUGACUUUUUAUGCUCUCAAUUUAAAUUUAAGAUUGUUUCGAGAAAAAGUUUAAUUUUAAAAUUAACACGAGUUGAUUUUAAAAUAUUUUUAUUGUUAAAAUAAACCAUUACCAUAUUAUAAAUUCACAUAAAAGAUAAAAAAAAAAAACAACUUACAUCACUAAAAUGAUUAUAAAAAAAAUUAGUUAAAACCUAAAAUACCACUUUCUUUUUGUUUUCUUUUUUAUCCUAGCAAAUAUAUUCAUAUUCACUUACAAAUACAAUUUUUUUCCUAUACAAAAAUUAAUUAUUGGGACUUGAGACUCAAUUAUGCUAACUUUAUAAAUUAAUACAUUCUUCUUUUAAAGAUUAAAAAUUCACUUUAAAUUUUACUAGAGACAUUUGUUUUACGUUCAUUCAUUCUAUUUUUUUUAUUAAUAUGGGUGUCCGACUCAGAUUGCGCGCACCCCAACUAAUCCCACGGCCCCUGAAGUUAACGGCCAUAUAAAUCUCUGGUGAUUAUCAUAUUAGCAACCAUAGAGUUCGAACUUGAGACUAUAAGAAGAGCAAACUCUUUAAUCCCAAAUUCGUACCACUGGCCAUCUACUAGAUGGUUAAUUCAUUCUAUUUUAUUACAUUAACUAAACAUAACAAUAAAGUUUGUCCAGUUAAAACUUGAAGAACACGAAUUCAAAUUUUUCAUCGUGAUAAAAUAAUAGGUGAAAUUAACCGAUCACGUAAAUUUGGAUAGCAGUGUUCUAGAUUUUAAUUUCCUACCCAACAAACAUGAAAAUCACAAAGGGAUGGUGCUGCACAUAGAAAUGGAAACAGGGACCAUGCAUGUGCAAAUGUUUCAGGUGUUAUGCACCGUUCGAAUCUUCGCAAGGGAACGGUCUCUAAUGGCAAGUGUGAUCACUUACUGUUUGUGAGUGCGGUUAUUUUUAGUAUUUUUUAAAAAAUAUAUAUAUUUUAUCUUGAAAAAAAUAUCAAUUUUUUUAAUGAUUUUAAUGCUAUAAUAUAAAAAUAAAAAAUAUUUUACUAUAUUUUUUAUAUAAAAAAAAUACAAUUUACAGUAUAUCCUACCAUGCAGAAAUGUCUCAGUUUAAUAAUAACAGAGUAAUAUCAAUUUGAAAACGACCGAGUAAGAUUGUCAAGGUGGAAGAGCAGUCAAUCGAUGACUGAUUGCCCAUUUUUAUUUACGAUUGAUGGAACCAUUUUUAGCAUAUUUGACUUCGUAAAAGUCCCUAAAUAAUUGAAUCCUCAAUUCUAUAUCAUCAAAUCAACUAGGAUUAAUAUAUAUUUUUUAUUUUUUAAAAUUUUAUUAAUUUUGAAAGGGAAAACAAGUUUAUUUUUACAUUUUAAAAAAAAUUAAAUUUUUAUUAUUUUUUUAUAUUUUUAGAUAAUUUUGAUGUUCUGUGAAACAAAAAACAUUUUAAAAAUCAACUACUGCUACACUUCCGAAUACUUUUUUUAAUGUUAAAUCAUUUUAAAUUAAAACCCAUCAUGCAUCAGGUUUGAAAUUGUAAUUUGUCACUGAGCCAGGUUUUAUUAACUAUGAUGCUAUUAUUACAAAAAAUAAUUAGAUUAUUUAUCUUAAUAUAGUUCAGUUACAUGAAAUAAAUUAAAUGCGAGAAAAAUCACGAUAGUUGGGAGUCAUGGAGGGGAAAAAACCUACUACGGACAGCAUGAUAAUAAUGACCAUACACCUCUUUGAAAAGGACAGCAAUAUCUUUGUAUCGUGAGGUCUUCGAUCCAACAACACAAGUAAAUGAACACUCUCUGUCUUCCUCUCUCCGGUCAAUUUGUAUCAUUUUAACUCCCUAUUUUUCUCUUCCCCCAUGUAUUUUUGUCCUUGAUAGUUGCUUGAUUUAAGUUGAUUUUUAAUUUAAAUUGAUUUUAAUAUAAACCUGGUUAAACCAGAUAAAUUAAUCAACAAUUUAAUUAAUUUAAUCAAAUUUAGUCAAACAUGUUCAAGUUAAAACCAAAAUAUUAAAAAAAAAAAAAUUUAAUUUGAAGAAAAAAUAAAAAAUAAAAUCAACAACCCACUUAUCCAAACAAAUAAAAAAAUCGUUUUAAAUUGAUUCGACAACUAUGCUACCCAUACCAUUAUUUUAAAUUUAAUUUAGUUGGUAAAACUACUACUAAGAAAAUCUCAAUAAAAGAAUUUUAAAUAGCAAAAAAGAAGAUAAUGGUACAAAGUUUUUAUAUUCAAAAUAUAUCAAAAUAAUAUUUUUUAAUAUCUAUUUUAAUAUCAUCACAUUAAAAUUAUUAAAAAAUUUAUGGAUUUAAUUUUUUCAAUUGAAAAAUAUUUUAUAAAUGAGGCUGAACAAAAAAAAAACAAACAUUAAAUAUUUCAUAUAUAUCCUCUAUACAUAUUACAUAGUCUCAAGCAUUCAAACAUUUACGUUGCCACAUGCAAACUAGUACAAACAUUCAAAAACAUUGAUACAUGGCCUAAAUGUUAGUUUGACGUGGGCCAUUGGAUUAGAUCAACACGAAAAGACCGUACUGAUAUUUUCUUUUGUACAGUGUUACGUUUACUACCUGAUUAACUCUCCUGGCCCCAUAUAACCCAUAAUAUCUUCCAAGUACCGGUACCACUUAUGUUUUACACAGAUCUGCUACAAUCAGCCUUACCGAAGCCCACUCUACGAUUGGCUAGAUCAAACUCCACCCAUAUAUUUUGUUGGUGAAAAUUUCCUAUUAUAUUGCUAGCAGCACCCAACAUUUCCGACCGCCCGAUCCCAACACAAUGGACCCCUCCACCCACAUCAGCUAAAACCCUCUCUUUCUCUACAACUAUCUCCACACCCUUGUCAAAUUCAAACACCAUAUUGCCUAUCAACCGCCCGAUCUCUAUUGCAUUGCCAUUGAAACACAUGUCAGAUACACCACCAUACACGUAUCCCUUCUUUAACCUUGCCCCCACCAGUCUUACCACCUCCUCCCUCACCUUAUUGUAAGCCUCAUCCACCAAGUAAGUGAAUUCGGACCCGGAGUCAAUCAUGGUUUGACCCGCACCACUAGGAUCGGGCCGAAAGGCCGAAAUCGGAAUGUUCAAUUUUUGGUUGCCAAUCCUAAUCCCUUGCAUGGCAACAGUGUAGGCCAAGGGGUCCAAAUUGGGCAUCCGUUGACUUUGAGAAAAAGUCAAAAGAUUAAUAUACCGAAACCCACCUGAAUUCGGGUUCUCACCCAAGUAAAACGACCCUGUUGGGGUAAAACCCGGUCGAACUUGCCGGGUGGGUACACAGUAUGAGAACUUGGUUAAUUUAGCCUGGGAAGCAAAGGACAGCCUCCCAAGGUUCAUUCCCAGAAUGCCCUUGGCAUCACUUGAUUCCUCGGCGCAGCCUAAGAUCAAAGGAGGGGUACUUUGGGACCUAGAAAAUGUAAUCUUUUCCCUUACAAGAUUACCUUCAGCUAAUGUUCCAUCGGCGUAGAAGUAAGAAUAAUGACACAAACGGUUCUGGUCGCAUGACGUUGGUAGGGUAAAAUCAGGAAUUCUGGGCUUGCAAAGAGGAUGAUUACAUGGCAAAACAGAGAAUGAAGAGGAUAAAGAAGGAUCAAACACAGAGCUAGGUGGGGGUUUCCUAGGAACCUUUUUGUGACACUGAAUCCAUGACAACUGGCUGCCCGUGUCCAAAAUCAUUUGCUGAGUUUGAGGUGGUGUCCCUAUAGGGAGAGAGACUAGCAAUAUCAUCGAGUACUUGAAUCCUGACCUGUAGUUAUAUGGCGAUGAGGAAAAGGAAGAACUUUUGAGUGUUGAGGCUUUCUUGGUUUGUGAGAUGAAGGAAGGGUAGAAAUUUGGAGAGGCUUGUGGGGAGCGAGGGAGGGAAGUGAGUGGGAAAGAAAAGGAAAGGGAGUCAUUCUUGUGCUGGGUUUCUUGUGCUGAGAGGGAGCAGGAGGUGAGUAGGAGGAAGAGGUAAAAAAGAAGCAUGGUUUCUUUGAGAAGAGAAGGAGAGGAAGCAAUAGAAGAGAGGAAGCAAGAGGGCAGUGUUGGAGUGGUUUUGAGUACAGUUUGUGGUGUAUGGUUGUAUUUAUAUGCCAGAGAAAGGUAGUGAUAGGCUGGGUAAAGCCAAAAUAGGAGAAUUCGAAAAGAAAAAAAAUGAAAAAAGAAUACGCGUUUUCUUAAUUGAGUGGUUAGAUCUUAUAAUGACAGUAGAAUUGAUGCUUGCUUAAUUGAGUUGCAGAAGAUAUGAGCUGCCCUAGUAGAAUCCUGAAUAUAGCUAAACAAAUUCCUUUCUUGAAAUUAACUCAUUAGAAAUGUUUUUGAGAUUGUGCUGUUUAUGUUUUUAAUGAAAAAAAAAACUAAAAAAUAUUAAUUUUAAUUUUUUUUAAAAAACAAAUAUUUAAAUCUUUUUUAAAAAAAUCUUGUACAACAACACUUAUGCCUACAAUUAAUUGAAGCUCAAAAGGCAUCCUAAAAAGUACUCCAAGUUCUCGUGAAGCUAAGUAAUGGUGUUUACACUUUACAUGGAGUGAUCCUGAUAUUAUGGAGUUCAAUGUUGAUCCGUUUUGUAUGUUAUGUCAAGAGGAUGCCAUCGCUAUUUUACUCAAUAAAAUCUUCUUAAUAAGCUUAAUGAAAAUGGACAUUGGUAUGUGCAUCGAUAAUCUCAAGAAGUUUGGAAAAUAAUCUUUUUCAAAAAUAAAUAUAAUCAAUUAUUCCACAUACUCUAUUUUCAAAAAUUAUUUUUAGAAUAUCAUUGAUGUAAAAUUAAAAAAAAAUUACAAUAAAUUGAUUCAAUUUCAAUUUCAAUUUCAAUUUCAAUUUCAUAUACAAAUCAACAUUGCUUUAUCUACAAAACCAACAAGAUAUGUCGUGUCUCUCUGUGGCUUGUUGCUUGUCUCUUCGAGAUUCUUCGAGUCUAGCGGUGCGAGCAUGAUCUCGUUCGGGUGUUUUUACUCGUUUUCAUGGCCAUAAUUCGCUUGUUAAGAUUGUUGUUACGCGUAUAUGGUGGCGCAUGAACUUCAUGUAUAGUGAGAAGACUUUAUUGAAGAAAAAAAAUAUUAAUAUUUGAUUUUUGUAUUCAAUACUCUUGUGAUGAUUAUUUUGGACUUGGGAGAAAUAUUUUGCUAUGAUAUUCUAAUGUAAUAAUUAUAUUGACAAACUUAGGUCAUCGGUAUUUUGAUGAGGUUCAAGAAAUACUUGGGUCGUCGGGCUCUUCCCUCGGUAUGUGCCACUAACACAGACGCUACAGCCCACGCUAUGAAUACGCUGCCCCACCUAGUUCUUGACCUGAUAUAUGUCACAAAGCCGUGCAUUGCAUGGCUUUUGUUUUGCUGCCGUGGAAAUUACUUUCUGAUAUAUGUCACAAAGCCGUGCAUUGCAUGGCUUUUCUUUUGCUGCCGAGGAAAUUACUUUCUGACUUUUAGUUUCCUCUGAUUUCCUUUUUCUUUUUCUUUUCAGUUCAACUAAAAAGCACGUUGUGUUUCAUGUGUUUUUAAUAUUGUGGUGCUGAUUUUUUUUAAAAAUAUAUAUUUUAUUUAAAAAUAUAUUAUAAUAUUAUAAAAAAAAAAACAAAAAUGAUUGUUCUCCGAACACUAAUUUAAACACGAUUACAAUAAUCAAGCAAUUUAAAUAAAAUACAUCUAUAAAUUUUUUAUUAUAAUUUCAAGUACAUAUAUCACAUAAGUCAGGUGGAUCAAUAACUAGAUAAAUUGACAUCUAAUCUUUAUUAUCACAAGAUCCAUGCUUUUGAGUGUCGUAAAAGAAAAAUAUGUUCAUUUCAGGGUUUUUUUUAUAAAAAAAACACAUAACUAAAUUUAUCAAGGGAUUAGAUUAUAUAUCAAUUAAGAUUGAAUUUUUUAUUGAAUUUUUUUCUCUAAACAUUAUUAAUUAAACACCCACACAUUGACUUAUGCAAUAAAAAUAUUAAAUUAUUUUAGAUAUUAGAUCCAAAAUGAAGAGGGAUGCAAAGUUUAACAACUUCAGUAAUUAUAUAUAAAUUGUAUUUAUAAUAUAGGAUUAAUUGAUGGACAUCAACAUUCUGAUAAAAAAAAAAAAAAAGUGCUAUGAAUUGGUUUCAUAACAUGACUAGCGUUCAAGGGCGUCCACAAAUUUUCUCAAAUCUGUGAGUAACAUUUAAAUAUCUAUAGGAUAGUAGGCUACAGACAGGCAAAUUGAAAAUAAUAAUAAUAAUAAUAAUAAUAAUAAUAAAAUACUACUGGGAAUAUUUACUUUUGACGUUUUUUAUUUUCUUUUCUAUCAUGGCGUCUAGUGGCACAUCAAUUAGAAACUUCUAAUACAAUAACAUUAGUAGAUUUCUUUAAUCAUUGGCCUAUUAAGAUAAAAGCACAAAAAGUCUGGCCAAUUUCAAAGAGAACACUAAACAAUCAAUAGGGACCCAGCAAGUCAAAUUAGUCGUAUAAAUUUGAUUUUUUUUAAACUAAAAUAUGCAAAAGAUUGUAUGAACAUUAUAUAACGAAUUUCCUAGAAAUGAAUUCUUAAUUUCCCCAUGUAAAUAGUAUAUAUAAAAGAGUCGGGGAAAAAAAACAGUGUGCAGCGAAAAGAAAAAAAAAUCAUGAUUUUUCAAAUUUUAAAAUUGCUACUGAACUACAGGGAAAAGCUUGAUUUCAUAAAUUUUCAAUGUCAAUAAAUUGUAAUCUAAUAAAAUAUGAUAAACAAUUCUAUAUAUUAGCCUCGUAUUUAAAUUUAUCUAAUUUUUUAUUAAAAGAUUACUAACUAAAAAUUGCAUGGCAAAUAGAAAAGAAAAGUAAAAAAAUUCAAAUAGUAAUUUCUUUACUUAAAUUCGAGCAUAAUCUCAUAUGAGAUUAGUGCUAGCUUACUCAUCUCAUAUAUAACUGACCAGGUAGAAUAUAUUCAUAAAAUUUUAAUUAAAUUUAAUAAUUAAAUUAAAAAUUAUAUUUGUUUUUGUUAAAAAAAUCGUAUAAUAUAUAUACUAUUUUAAUAUCAGAGAACUAUCUCAAUUCAAUAACUUAAACUCUCCAACACACUUUCUUAAAUGAAAAUCUUUUAAAUUUGAAACUUGUACAGACUUACACCAUUUUAUACUUAUUUUUUUAUCAAAUAAAUAAGGAUGGUGAGAUUCGAACUCGUGAUUACUUAGUUAUAAAAGCUUUGAUAACAUGUUAAAAAAUUAUCUCAACUUAAUAAUUUAAUUUUUUAAAUAAAAUCAAUGAUAUAAUUUAUAUUAUUUUUAAAUAUUUAAUUUCUCAUUUAUACUUUAAUCUUUUUUUAUCUAUCAUUAUUUUUUUUUCCUUGUGAUGUCAUUGGACAUUGCUACUUGCCAGGUAAUGUAUUGGUUCUUUAAACUUGGAGUACUGUCAAAGACUGUCUGAAAUCUGAAUGACUGCAAAGUGGGUGGCGAGCCAGGGCUCGAAUUUAACCAGCUGGCCACCAUGACAAAGUACUCAAAGAACCAUCUCAUAGGUAGUUGAAAAUGGUUGAAUAGGCUCAAAAUUCCAUGGAAAUUUCAAAAAUCUACGCACACCAGAAUCUAAUUCUAACCACACCACGAUGUCUUCAAUUGGUUUUUUUACCCUAUUUAUUUCAUCAUUGUAUUUGAAAGUUGCUAAGCAACAAUUUUCUUAAGAUGAUUAAUUUUGUACAGAAGAAUGUUUUAGAAAGUUUGUUUUUUCUUUAUGAGAAAAUAAAUCUUUGAAAGCAAAUUAACUAUAGCCACCUACUUAAUUUACUCCAUAAAUUAUUUGUUGUUGUUUCAAGAAAUAUAAAAUAAAUACCCUAAUAUCUUAUAGUUUGAUAUAAAUUAUACUUAUAUAAUGAUUUUAUAUAAAUUAUAGUUUAUAUCACUUGUAAGUAUAAAAUAAAAUAAAUUAUAAAAUAAUUUAUUAUGUAAACUGAUACGCGUAUAAUCAAGUUCAUGUGCAAUUUUAACUAAAGUAUUAUAGGAUGAUAAGAAUAAUUUUUUCUUAAAAAAAUCCAUAUUCGAAGUUUGUUCCCUCUAUUAGUGAAUUUUUAAUAAAAAAUAAAAACUUAUUUCAAUUAUGUUCAUUACUGGAUUUUUUUUCUUGAGAAUAAUUAUUGGGAGCUGAACGAAUUGCAAAACAAUAUGUCAAAUGCAAUGGAGAAGGGGGCCAAAUUUAAUUGACUCAAUAAACAUUAUACUCUAAUAUUUAUUACGAAAUACAUAUUAUAAUUCAUUGAUUCCUUGUUUCUAGUGAAUUUAAAGUGAGAAAAAAUAUUAAAAAAAAUCACGCCAUAUUAUUAUUUUAAUUAAAAAAUAAGAAAAGGGUCAAAGUUUUCCCCUAUAAAGGAUUCUAAUAAAAUAAAAUAAAAUGAUAAAAUAUUUCAAUUCAAAUACUGCAUGAGAAAAAUAUAUUGUUAUUGAAACUCUCUUGUUUACUCUUCCAAACUCGUAUGUAAUAACAAUGGGCAAAGAGUAUAAUAUUUUGAAAUCAUAUUUGAAAGAUAUAUGCAAGUAUAGGGACUAAAAUGGACUUUAAAGGGUAAAGGACUCAUGGCCCUCUCCCGCUCCUGCUUUUAAUAUAGUCCUUGGAUCAUUCUAAAAAGAAACUAACAAUAUAGUCCUAGAAGUUAUUAUUUUUAAUUUUUUUUUCUCAUUCUAAUAUUUAAGCCUUUGAUUUGAAAAUCAACAAUUAGAAUACACUAACAUAACGUAUCAUGUAACUCUAAAAAAAAAAAAGAUUUAAGCCUUUUAUUUUUUUUAUCAAUUCGAUCCUUAUUAGACAAAUGUUCAAACUAUAUAUAAUUAGAUCACGGAUUAUUGUCAUAAGAAAAGCAUCCAAGGCAUAAAACAUUUUUGAGAUAUUUUUUGUCCUCUCAACCCUCCUCUCUCGCCCACGACAACACUAGCCAUGUUGCCUGAGCCGCACCGCAGGAACUUUUGGCCGGUAGCUAGUGCUUUCCUUCUUGAUUUUCUUGUCUUCGUGCUCGGAACAUGGUCGGUUUGAUCAAAGUAUUUGGUCAUGGGACUCAUGGGGAGGACUGAACGAUCGUGCCAUAAGAUGACAAGCAAUACUUAGCCAUUUUAAAGAAAAAAAAAGGGAAUAUUCGUCACCUCGUUAAUUCUUCAUUCCUCCUUUUGUUUUGUGGUUGCUCCACACUUCCUUUUGAUUAAUCUAUUUUUAGUGGAGCAUCUUAAAUAUCCUUAAUAUAUGACAAGAUCUUUAAUUGUAUUGGCAUUUGGAAUCUUAAAAAAAUACAUCCACCUCUCAAUACAAUUAAAUGUAUACACAAAUAAAUGGAUUUGGAUUUUUUGCAAAGUUAAUCUUGCUAGCUACAUUAAUUUAUUAACACAUGUUACUUAUGGUAACAAAAUUCAAGAAUUGUUUUUUUUAAAAGUCCCUAAGAUUAGGCCAAACCCAAGUGCGCGAGGCACGUUCAAGUGCCCAACGCUCGGGCCAUCAGUGUUGAGAUGAGUGUGUGUUUGGAUGACAGAUAGCUUGUGUUUUUUUUGGUAAAAAACGUGUUUUUUUUUUUAGAUUUUGAAGGUGUGGUUUGUGAUUAAAAGGUGUUGCAUCUUUGAAAAAAAGCCACCGCAACUCCAAGCCAAACACACUCAAGCCUCAAUGCUUAGGUAGGCCCGAGCAACCCCGCGCAAGAAACCUUUGCCCUUGACCAUUCUAAAACCAAAUCCCACGUGUUAGUUGACACACUCAAAAACUCUUUUCACCAAUUUUUUUACUCACAUUUCAUGUUUUUUAUAUUUAUUUAUUUAAGUAUUGGAAGGUUUUCUAUUUUGACAAGGAAUUCAUUUUUUAAGUGAAUACUCGAUAGACCAAGGUUAAAACUACUCGAAAAUAUAGAAACACAGCCCUAAAAAGCCUACAAUUUCUCAAUUACUUGUAAGCAAUUUUUAAUUAAAUUUUGUGAAAUUGAUUGAAAGAUUUUUUAAAGAAUCUGUCAAUAUACAAUCAUCGAUCUUUUGAUCAAGAUUUGAAGUCUAACUAUAUCAGCAGCUACUACAAAGUGGAAGAUUCUAGUUAAUCAUUGACAUAUAUAGAAGGUUUUUACCAUUAUUGAUCUGGGUUUCUGUAAAUAUAUUAAAUGAAGUUAUAUUUACCACUCCAUCAACCAAUGUACAGAUAUGUUUGUUGUUCGAGGUGUGGCAACACAACUUAAUAAACCAAGCAUGAAAAACAAAGGCAUCGAUUGACCCCAUGUACAUCUAUAUUAAACUCUCGUCUAGUUCCAUGUAUCAAGCAGAGUACUGUCUUGUUGGUGCUUCAUUAUCAAGAACAACAAAACAAUCAAAUAUUAUAGAUUAAUAUUCCAUAGAUAUCAUAUGCAAACAUGCAUAAAUUACGAGCCCGUGUAUAUAGGUUAGACAGAACACAAAACAUUAAUUCUAAACCCAUGAGUGAGCAUGUCUUGUCAUCACUAGGCUAUGAUAAUAUAAAAUUUAAGGUUCGAUCUGCCCAUCCUAGAUGAUUAAUCAAGCAGUUCGUACUUACAGCUCCUAUCCGGUAAUGUCAUAUCAAUGUUAGCUUUAACCUGCCAUGAUUAGGAAGGACUUCAUGUCCCAUGCCAGUUUUCGGUAACAAAGAAGCUCAAGGAAAUAAAUCUCUCAACGAUCAAUAUAGUUGCUAUAAAUAUCCAGGUAAUAAUCUGAUCAUGAAUUAGUGCUUCAACCCCUACUUGUUAUUAAACUAAUUUGACAGGUUAAUUUUGAUAAUUUUGAUAAUUCAUAAUUCAAAACUUGAUCUAAAUCAUGUUCUGAAUUAAAUAAGACACGGUGAAAUUCCAUUCACACAAUUGAAUUUUUAAUAAUUUAGUUAACUCUAUUAAAUUCAGUGCAUACUUGAUCAGAUUAAUAUUAAGAAACUUUAAAUGAUAAAAAUAAAAUGAUUAUUGACCUAUAUAUAUAUAUUGUUAUACAGUGAUUUUUGAAGAAGUUCCAUAAACAGGGAGUUCCCAAGACUUGUUUGAAGGAAAAAAAAUAGCAGCUAGUUCCCGAGGCUUGUUUGAAGGAAGGGAGGAUCAUGCAACUCGAGAUAAAAAUUUUGGUGUUGAUAUGAAAGUCUAUUUUUUUCUUAUUUUUUUAAUCAAAUCCUGCUGGUUUUCAAGAAUUAGAGCAAGGUUACGAGGAGAUCGAUCCAGUUUCUCUUGAGUAAUCCUCUAACCAACAAAAUGAAUUAUCUGUAUUUAACUAGAGAUCAUGUAAGCCAUGGGAACACUACAUAUGUUUGCCUGUAAGAACAAUAACAAUUAAAAAUAAUAUUAAUAAUCAUAGAGCACCAAACCUCAAGAGAUAAUGGUAGCUAGCUAGGUAGGACAAAACAAUUGAUCGUGGGAAAGCUAUAUAUGGUCAACAAGUUAUAUGAAUGGAUGAUGGAGAGUUUCCCAGGCUGGACCCAUAACAUAGAUGCUGCCUUCACUGAAAAGAAGUACAUGCAUGGGAGGCAAAUGAAUGCUUGUUACAUCAAUGCCAUCCAUGCAUUAAAGAGUUUGGAUCCUGUAUCCAUCCAUGCUUAUCGGUCUGCAGCAAUUCUCAAAGCCAUCAUAAAAUAAUCACGAACUAGUUAAUAAAUGAAUAAAAGAAAGUACUAUAUAUAUAACUUUUUUUUUUAUUAUUAUUAUUAUUAACGUAGGUAUCUAAAUCAAUUUGGAUGCAUUUUAAUUAAUCCCACGGGUCCUGAAAUUAAUGACUAUUUAAGCCUCCAGUAAUCUUGAGAGGACUCGAACUCGUGAUCAUUAAGAAGUAAAUCUAAAACCUAACGUUGAGUUAUCGUUACUAACUUGGACGUACCUCAACUAAUCUUAUAAGUUCUAAAAUUAAUGACCAUUUAAACCUCCAGUAAUCCUGAAAUGACUCGAACUCGUGGUCAUUUAAUAACCAUUUUUAUCUACUCUUUCCCUCUCAAUUAACUAUAUGUAAGACGGAUUUUAUCCAUUAUUCAUCCUUGUACUCUUCGGGAUCUCUUUAUUAAUCGAAAUCUUUCAUUCUUUAAUAAUUAAGUUCUUAGAACUACGGAUUGAUACGAUAACUUAGCCAUUCGAGAUCUUUUAUAAGUUAGAUUUAUGAUCAAAUUUAACAAUUAUAAUGGCCAAUAACAAUUUCAGAACUGGUUUGGCAUCUUUAGUUUAUCUCGAUUCAAAAAAGGAUAAUUAAAACUAAGAAAAUAAAUGUGAAGAGAUGAAAGUAGAUAAACAUGGCUGGAAAGUAAGAAUUCCUCACGGGUUAUAUAUAUAUUACCAUGUAAAUCAUGAUCACGGGCUGUGAAGUUUUUUCACAGUAAAAACACAGCACUUCACAUACUUUCUAUGAUCCGUUAAUUAUUUUAGAUAUCAAACACAUGAGAUGUGGGGAAGAAAAAGGUGAUCGACUUUUAGGUCGCUAUUCUUUCACGGUUCUCCUAUCCUAGCCAUGCAUGGAAUACAUCUUAAUCCUAGCCCUGUAUUUUUGGCUUGCUACUCUCUCGGCUUGAGUAGAAGAACCGACAGCAACAUUCCUUGUCAUGAGAUGACACGUGCACACUAUGCACCCAUCCAUAUUGCAGCUAACUGUCGAUAACAAUACGUGUUCUUGUACUCAUAAUUGUCUGUCGAUGACAAUUAUGAAAUAAAAAGAGAAUUCAAUUUCAUAACUUUGUAUGGAAGUUUAGACUCCGUUUAAAACAUUUGGUUUGAUUAGAAUUUAUAUCUUUGAACAGUACUUGAAUUAAGAUUUUAUGGUCUCGACUUCUUUAAAUAAUUCAUGAUAAGGUUUUAAUUGAUCAACUUAUCUUCCUUAUUAAAAUAUAUAAUUAAUAUUUUGGAUAUUAUUUUUUUAAUUUAACGCUAGCUUUGGUUUAAAAGUACUGAAUCCCUCUAAACUAUCAAUAAAAAAAAAUCAUUUGUCCCUAAAUGGUAUCAAUAAAAUUAGGAUUAUAUAUAUAUAUAUACAUAAUCAAAUUAUUGACACAGGAACUCCAUUAAAUAAUUUGUUAUAUUACAGGAUGAAUAUGAUUUUUGUGUCAUUUUUUCAAUUAUUUUUGUGACUAGGUUUGUAAAUUUCUAUAUAUAGAAGAAAAAGGUAUUUCUUUUCGAGAAUUUUUUUUUAAAAAGCAAGCAUUCUAAAUUACCCUAUUUUGAAGGGGAAAAAAGGCCUCAAUAUUCCCAGCUAGGGUAUCGUUUUAGUGGAUAGCAAUUCGAAUAAAUUGAUUGACACCUCAACUCCCAAAAGCACCAUCUUAAGUUUUUAAUUACUAAAACCAUAUUAUUUCUCAGUCGUCACCAAGCUCACCUUGGCUUCAUCAUAGACUCCUACAACAAGAUGACAGGAUUUGACCCUUCUUUUCUGGGGAAUAUGCACCAUCUUUCUAUUUCUUUUUAAGUAUGUUAUCUUCUUCAUGCUACCAACAGGCACUUAUAUGACCAGUGCAUAUCAAGUGGAGAAUCUUCACUUAAUUAGGUGAAAAUCAUGAAUUAUUGAUCUUGACGAGUGUGCUUGAGAGUGAUGUUGCUUUAGCUUUUUGAUAUAUUUUUGAUGAUUUUCAAGGAAUUUUUUUUUAAAUCAGUAUAGCACUAUUUGUUACAUUAAAUUAUACGUAAUAACAACUUGAAUAUUGAUGGGGUAGCAAGGAUAAGCAUGGAAGGUAUACCAUAAAUCAAUUAGCACCUUUAACUAUGAAUUCGAAAUUAUUGUGUUGGCCUUUCACUAUCCAAUUGGGAAAGCGUGCUCAAAUAUUCAAUCAGCUUGAAUAACUUUUGGCCUAAAAUUAAAUUAAUGAACUAACCUAUUGAUACGAUUUCAUCACCAUGGAUUCGGGUAGGUUCGAAAGAGAAGCAAAGAAAACAAGGUCAAGAGUGCCGUCACAUAUUGUAUUAUAAUAUGUUAUUAAUUGCCUGGUAAAUUAUAAAAAAACACAUCUCUAUUCAUAGUUAAAUGACAGGAAGAUUAAUCUAAACCUCUAAAUCCACCCCAUUUGUCCCAUUGCAAGGGGUCAACUGAAGCAUACAUGGAGUAAUCACUUCUUGGGAAUGGACAGUCGACUUGUUAUCAACGUUUUGGACCCCAAGCGACCAAGAAAUCACACACACUAUGGAAUUGACUCCUGAGAAAUGCAUAAAAUGCAUGGAUAUAGCCCUCUCUAGCUCCAUGAUCUCUUCAUCUUUCUAGCCGUGACAAUAAUUGAGUUCAUACUACGCAAGAAAAUGCCAAAUGACUUGUCUAAUUUUAAACGAAAACAUUGAAAGAACCUCCUAUAUGAACAAUCAAUCACAUCGUUAGCGUAGCAAUAGACAAUCAAUCAGAUUAUUUUAUUAAUUCUAGUUAACAUGAUUGCUACGCAGUCACUUGAAAUUAAUUCAUGUUAUUAAUUUCUCCUUUUUUAUAAAAUAUUCAUGAAUUUACUAGGAUUUCUCUUGCUUGAAUCCCAUGCAAUUCAAUUAAGGGAUUUUCACAUAAUUGUCUAUGAUUUUGUUGUCCAAGACUACUAAAAUAUUUAAUUAUUAGAAAUCUAUUUACACAUCGAGAAUUUCAUUGAAAUGAAAACAUAUAUCCAUCUAUCAACUAGUAUAAACGUGGGAAAUUUCCCUACUCUCAAGUCGGACUCGUAAAAUAGUAGUAGCUGUCUCCAGCAACAGGAACGGAUAAGAAACAAGAUGAUGUUGUCGACAUCAAAUUGGUCAUAAACUAGUUGUAAACACAGCAUCUUCCCGUCUUUAUGAAUUUUCGAGUCACUCAAAAUAAUGCCUCGCCAUGCAUGCUCCUUGGACCACAUUGGAAAACCAUGGCACAACCUUUCUUUAUCUAGGACCUCUUUAUCAAUGCUUAUCAACGAUAAGGUUGUUCAAUCGAAACCAAGAGAAAAGGAAAUGAAUUCCAACUCAAGUUUUAAUCAUUCUUCCUUCUUAGGAGACCCAAUCGAAGCUAGCUACACGCCUAGGUCCAUUUUUUCCCCUCUCAAUUGUCCUAAUUUAAGACCAAGUGAGGUGGAGUGGGCAAGUAGAGGUAGCUUUCUCUAACAUUUCAAUUUUUUCAUUAAAAGAAAGGAAAACAUUGUAGUAAUAAAUAAUAUCUUCCUCGUAGUAUAAUCCCGCUUAAUUAUCUAUUUAUGGAAUUUUAUCAUUCACAUGGAUAUAUUAAUCAUUAACAAAUUGUUUAAGAAUAAAUUUGACUUUCACUGGAUAUAGCUAAAUGACAUAAAUAUUAGCUUUACAAGAAAAAAAAGUUGACUUGGGUACAAGGGCUUUUAAGAUCUUUUAUUUCUAUAAACGUACUUAAAUUACUUAAUUAUAGCAAAAAAACUAAAAUUUCUUUUGGCAACAUUUUUUUUGAAUUUUUUUUUGUAUAAUCGAGAUGUCUUUAGAGCAAUUUGGUAUUUAAAUGAAUAUAAAAUGUUAAUAAAAAGAAAAAUUAUGAGUGUUUAUUUAUUUAUUUAUUUUAUUUUAUUUGAUCAUUAUUCUUAUGAUUGUUAUUCAUUUUUUUAUCUUAUUUUUAUUCAAUUUUAUCUUUCAUCAUUAGGUUUCAUUUGAUUUUUACAUAAAAUUUAGUCCUCAUUCUUUUAAUAUUUUUUAAUCCUUUAACUAAUUGAAAUUUGUUUCACUUUCACCUCUUAGCAUUUCAUUUUGAUUUUUUAUGUUGAAUUUGGCCCUCAUUCUUUUUAUUUUUUAUUGUAUUUUUUUUGCAAUUUCAUCCCUCAAUAUUUUUCUUAUUGAGUCCUGGGUUUCAAAGACUAACACGCGUUGAAUUUGGUGUUUUUUAGGUUGUUUUAAAAACUUGAUUUUUUUAAAUUUUAUCCUUAAAUAUUUGAGUUUUUUGAAGCCUUCAUGCUUUUUUUUUUCCUCUCUUUUCUUUUGAUAGGGUUAUCUCAAUCCUAUAUCUAUAAUCACGUGAUUGAUGGGUUAACGUGGAUUGAUUUGAAUAUUUUUUAUUUUUAAAAAGUUCUUUUUAUUUGGGUUUCAUAACUCAUUAACUUUUUAUUGAGGAUUUUGAAUUAUUGUUUGUUGGAUUUGCCUUCUAUGUAGUCGGUCUUAGUCUUAUAACCACGAUCAUGAUCUUCAAAGGCAGACACAUGUUGAUUUUAGUUUUUCUUAAUGUUUUUUUAAUUACCAUUUAAUUUCAUUAUUUUAUAUUAGUUUUUUUUUAAUAUUUUUUUAAUUACUGUUCAAUCUCAUCAUUUAACAUUAAAUAUUUUUAAAAUUGGUCUUCAAAUUUUUUAUUUUCUUACUUACAAAAAUCAACUGAUCCUUUACAAAGUGCAAGUACAAAACUAGUUUGUUGUUAUAUUUUGUUAAUGAUAAUACUCCUGAUAUUUUUUUUAAUGGAAGAAUCUCAACCCUAGGUUUUAUUAUAUUACAAGUGAUUUAUUUUAAUGUGAAAUUAGAAUCACUCACAUCAUUUUGCAAAAUCUUUACUAGGGCUGUGAUCAUAGUUAUUAAAUCUAAUAUGAGUGUCGAAUUCGAUGCAAGUUAUUGGUUGUCUAGGGUUACUCUAAACCGAUUAUUAUUAUUCCUUAAAAAUAACAUUGUUUUGAAAAUUACCAGAUUUUGAACAGGUUAUGACUUGGCCUGUUUAAUUGAACAAGUCAAAUCAUUUUGACUUUAAAUUGACUUUUUUUUGAGAGUGGCUCGAGUUAGGGACUAGUCGAUUCGAUUUCGGAUACAUCUGAUAGGAUGGGCCAGAUUUAAUAAUUUGCUGUUGAUACCUUGACAUUUUAUGGAAGAGCCUAGGUACAGGCUAUGGGUUGUAAAACUCUUCACCACAUUUUUACAAGUUUUUUAGGCCCAUUGUUGGUCCUUCGGCUAAGAAACACAAAUGAAUCCUAAGAAUUUGAUCCAAAAAGAGCCCACAACACACACACACACACACACACACACACACAUUCUCAGACAGCUAGAAGAAGCGUUUGUUGCCAGUACCUGGGGGCUUGAGCAACAGUCCUAUAGCCAGCAAAGUUGACCUUUUUCAGGUAAUUCCCUUGCUUUCUCUUCUUUGCCAUGUUAUUGAUAAUCUUGUGUUAUAUCAUAUGCUGUUUCUCCGUCUGCUAAAUUCAGUUACAUGUAUUGUGGUUUGGAAUUUAUAGAUACUAAAGAUGUUAGUUUAUCCUGGCAACCGUGUUGGAGUUUAGAUUAACAAAGUACUGAGAAAGUAUCCGUGGGUUGGAUUCAAACUAGAAGACUUAGAAGGACCAAAUUGAUGAUAUAGGAAAACUGGUACUACUUUUAGUCAAUGGAAAGAAAUGCAUGAUCUAUUGAAAUAUAUUUGUAAUCAGAAGAAUAAGAUUGUGUUUGAUUGAUGCAUGCAUGACCACCUUGAGUGUUGGAGAUUAGGUAUUAGUUCAUAACAGGGGGAAUUGUUGUAGCUUCGGUUUCGGGAGCUCCAGUGGGAUUUUGAGCUGGAGUUUGAUGGGGUAUUUGAAGACGGGGGAUCUUUUUUCUAGCUUUUUUAGGUCAGUACAGUAGAUUGGUGAAUAUUUCUUAGACCGAGGUAGGUCGAAGGGUGUGUCAAUAGGUGCAAGGGAGGAUGGAGCUGGCUCUUGGAAAAGCACUAGUAGUGAUUGGAAAGUCUCUCAUCUGAGGUAGGUGAUGGGUGAAGGAACUUGUUGCGACAAGUGUUUGAUGUGGUGAAGAAGAAAAAGGUAUUGAUAUUUAGUUAUAUUGAGGGUGAAGGGCGGAUGGCAUGAUGGGAUUUGACAUUCAUAUGGUUUCAAAUAGGUGUUCAAUGAAAUUUUCUAAAAACUUGAACUUUUGUUUAGGCCUGUCGUCUGGACUGGUUUCUUUCUUGUUUCCAUCAACCAAUUUCCACCUGAUCUGGCUUAAGCAGUUGUUUCUGAUGAAUUCUCAAUGUUUAGCAGAAAUUAUGCUUGCUUGGUGGAUAUUAUACAUAAACACUCAAACUUUGGGCCGCCAUCAUUAUCUGUAAGCUUAUAAACAAUUUCAUAUAAUUUGAAUCAGCCUCCUUCCCCUUAGCUACUGAAUUGUAAUGUAAUUUCAAGUGAAAGCAAAUUUCAUGUUCUCACAAUAUGGCUCACACCUGCAUUUCUCAGGAGAGAGUAUUUCAGCCGAGACAGUUUUCAGUCUGUGGACUCUAUUUCUGAAUACUUGCUAUCCCAUUGCUGACUGCUAUGUAAUGUUUGCAUAUUUGUUAAUUGAUUGCAGCCACCAGACAUUUCCUGUUACACUGAAAAACUAGAGCUUUCGUGAAUGGAAUCAGAUAUGGUUAUCCAUAAUGGAGGAUGUCAUUGCAGGAGAGUAAGGUGGCGAGUCCAAGCACCAAGUAGUGUUGUCGCUUGGAACUGCAACUGUUCUGAUUGUUCCAUGAGGGGAAACACUCACUUCAUUGUCCCUUCUGAAAAGUUUGAGCUUCUUGGAGAUUCCAAAGAAUUUCUUACAACCUACACUUUUGGCACGCAUACAGCAAAGCACACAUUCUGUAAGUUUUGUGGCAUAACUUCGUUUUACAUUCCACGAUCAAAUCCAGAUGGGGUUGCGGUUACUUUCAGAUGUGUGGACCCAGGGACUCUCACUCAUGUUGAGAUUAAGCACUAUGAUGGGAGGAAUUGGGAAAGCUCAUACAAUCAGACAGGCAUUGCUUCAUGCUCCCAAGGUACAGACUGAAUUGUCACUCAUUCUUCCACCACUCUCCUCUGUUUCCCUCCCUAGAGGAGAAGUACAACAUUUGGGAAAAACCUUUGUGAUGUCGCUUUUUGGAAAUCCUCAAAGUUGGAAAAUAAAAUUAGCAAUGCCUAAGUGUUGCCCUCGGCCAAAACUUUGCACCGUUUCCUUGUGUUAUUUGAACAAAAAAACAAGUUACCCUAACUGCUAAUUAAGAGAGAGACUUUACGCAUUUCAUGAUUCCCACACUGAUCAUCAUUUCCCUUGAACAUGAGGAUCAAAUGGACAGCAAAAAACAGAGGUUGGAAACUAACGAUUUGCAUGUUUAAAUGACCUCAAGAAACACAAAGUAGUCCUGUAGGUUUGGUUCACCUUUCACAACACAUCAAUUUUCAUCCCAGCACGAGCUUGAUAGCAUUUGCCAGUGUCGUUUGUGUCAGUAGCCAUGGCUAGAGAAACCAAUACAGCAUAUGCUAAACUUGGCACAACAACAAAUCAUGUGCUGACUUUUGUGCCCGCUAUAUCUCUGCAUUUCAAAGAACCUUCAACUCGUUAAUUUGAUCAAAGUCUUUGGUCAUGGGAUUCAUGGGAAGGACUGAACUAUCAUGCCAUAAGAUGACAAGUAAUACUAAACAAAAAAAAAUUGAGAAUAUUCAUCACCUCGUUAAUUCUUUGAUUUUUCCUUUUGUUUUAUGGUUACUCGACACUUCCUUUCGAUUAAUCUGUUUUGAGUGGAGCAUCUUAAUUAACCUUAAUAUGACAAGAUCUUUAAUCACAUUGGCAUCUGGAAUCUUAAAAAAAAUACUUCCUGCUUGACACCCUCGCCUCGAUCUGUCUAAUCCCACCCCAUAACAUGUCUCUAUGCCUCUUGUUUUUUCAGUUCUCAUGACUCUGCAUGUAUGCAGGCGCGCACAAAUUUUUUAUAUGCAGAGUAUGCAUCAUUUUUCAAUCAAACACCACUUUUCAAUGUCCAAUGGCACUUGCCUAUCCAGCCAAGACCACUAUCAUCUUCACAAAUGAAAUGAUGUGAAUGACAGAACAAAUUUUUUUGGGAAAUAUUUUCACUAACAUCUUUAUCAUAAGGAUUGGGUUUGUAAAUACAUAGUCAUUAGGUAAGAAAAUGAAGCUAUGUUUUGGCCAUACAAGUUCUCGGUUUUAAGUCCUAGACUCCAUACAGCGGCUCCAUACAAAAGCUAUCUUCACACAUUUUCUUUACAUAUAUUUUACUCUUCUCAUAUUUACUAAUUUAGACAUCAAAUAAUCUUCUAUUUUGAUAAAUAACUGGGUUUUUAAGUGAACACCUGUUGAACCAAGGUCAAAACCAGUUAAUAGUCCAGAGAAACAGUUUUGGAAAGCCUAAUUCCCGUUCGAUGAUUUCACGAUUCCAUCAAUUACUUAUCAACAAUUUUUAAUUAAAUUUAACAAAAUUAAUUAAGGGGAUUUUUGAGAAAAUCUUUGUCGAUAUACAAUCAUCGAUCUUUUGAUCAAAUUUUGAAGUCUACCUAUGAUCAUCAGCAGCUACGACAAAGUGGAAGAUUCGACUUCACCAUUGACAUACAUAAAGAUUUUUUAUUACUAGAAACCUGAGUUUCUGUAGAUAUAUUAAAUGAAGUUAUAUUUACCACUCCAUAUAUAUAUAUAUACAAAACAUUAAUUCUAAACUCAUGAAUGAGCAUGUCUUGUCAUCACUAGGCUAUGAUAAUAUAAAAUUUAAGGUUCGAUCUGCCCAUCCUAGAUGAAUAAUCAAGCAGCUAGUACUUACAGCUCCUAUCUGGUAAUGUCAUUGAUCGAGCCAAUUUUCUGUACCAGAGAAGUUCAAGGCAAUAAAUCUCUCAACUACCGAUAUAAUUGCCAUAAAUAUUUAGGGAAUCAUUUCAUGAGUUAAUGCUUCAACCCAUAUUUGUUAAACUCAAUUGACGGGUUAAUUUAGAAAAUUUAUAAUUCAAAACUUGACAUGGAUUGUGUUUUAAAUUAAUAAAAAAGACGAUAACUUGUGAAACUCAGUUCACAUAUCGAGUAUUGGAUCAACUUGACAAUUACCUUUUAUGGAAGAGCCUAGGCAUAUAUGGCCAUGGGUUGUAAGACUCUCCACCACAUUUUUACAAGUGUUUGAGGCCCAUUACUGGUCAUUCGGCUAAGAAACACACAUGAAAUCCUAUAGAAUGUACCCAAAAAAGAGCCUCCAAUAUACACACACACACAUUCUCAGACAGCUGAAAGCAGCAUUUGUUGCCAGCACGAGGCUUGAGCAACAGUCCUACAGCCAGCAAAAUUGACUUUUUUUUUCUUCAGGUAAAUUCCUUUGCUUCUCUUCUUAUCGAUGUUAAUGAUAAUCUUGUGUUAUAUCAUAUGUUGUUUCUCUGUCUGCUAAAUUCAGUUACAUCUAUUGUGGUUUGGAAUUUGUAGAUACUAAAGAUGUUAGUUUAUCCUGGCAACUAUAUAUGUUGGGGUUUAGAUCAACAAAGUAAUGAUGAAAGUGUUUGUGGGUUCGAUUCAAUAAAGAAGAUUUAGAAGGACCAAGUUGGUGAUGUAGGAGGACUGUUACUGCUUUAGGCAAUGGAAAGAAAUGCAUGAUCUAUUGAAGUGUGUUUCUAAUAAGAAGAAAAUUAUUAGUGUUUGAUUGAUGCAUGCAUGAUCAGAUGGAGGGUUGGAGAUCAGGUAUUAGUUCAUAACAGGGGGACUUGUUGUAGCUUCGUUUUCAAAGCUGCUACUAGGGAGCUCCAGUGGGAUUUUGAGCUGGGGUUUGAUGGGGUAUUUGAAGACGGGGAUCUUUUUUCUAGCUGUUUUAGGUCAGUACAGUAGAUUGGUGAAUAUUUCUUAGAGCGAGAUUGGUUGAAGGGCGUGUCAAUAGGUGCAUGGGAGGGAUGGAGCUGGCUCUUGGAAAAGCACCGGUAGUUAUUGGAAAGUCUUUCAUCUGAGGUCGGUGAUGGGUGAAGCAACUUGUUGCGACAAGUGUUUGAUGUGGUGAAGAAGAAAAGGGAAUUCAUAUUUAGUUAUAUUGAGGGCGAAGGGUGGAUGACAUCAUGGGAUUUGACAUUCAAAGGAUUUCUUUCAGCCAAUAUGAAGUGUGUUGAUAAUAAGUAGUGAAAAGUUCUAGGUGGAUUUCGGCGUAUCUAAGACCCAAGCAUUUCUCACUUCUGCAUAUUUAAGGAUGCUGAAAACAAUGGCCAUUAGACCUCAUUUCUCUUUCCAUCUUCCCAUUUUCUUAGUUUUUCUCUUAUUGUAAUCGGUGUUCAAUGAAGUUUUCUAAAAACUUGGUUUCCUUCUUGUUUCCAUUAACCAAUUUCCACCUGAUCUGGCUUAAGCAGUAGUUUCUAAUGAAUUCUCAAUGUUUAGCAGAAAUUAUGCUUGCUUGUUGGAUAUUAUACAUAAACACUCAUACUUUGUCCCGCCAUCAUUAUUUGUAAGCUUAUAAACAAUUUCAUAUAAUUUGAAUCAGCCUCCUUCCCCUUAGCUACUCAAUCAUAAUGUAAUUUCAAGUGAAAGCAAAUUCCAUGUUCUCACAAUAUGGCUCAUACCUGCAUUUCUCAGGAGAGAGUAUUUCAGCUGACACAUUUUUCAGUCUGGGGACUCUAUUUCUGAAUACUUGCUAUCCCAUCGCUAACUGCUAUGCAUUGUUUGCAUAUUUGUUAAUUGAUUGCAGCCACCAGAUUCAUCCAGGAGAAGCCACCAUUUCCAACCAGUGCUUUCGUGAAUGGAAUCAGAUAUGGUAAUGCAUUAUGGAGGAUGUCAUUGCAGGAGAGUAAGGUGGCGAGUCCAAGCACCAAGUAGUGUUGUAGCUUUGAACUGCAACUGUUCUAUUUGUUCCAUGAGGGCUAGCAUUCAGUUCAUUGUCCCUUCUGAAAAGUUUGAGCUUCUAGGAGAUUCCAAAGAAUUUCUUACAACCUACACUUUUGGCACGCAUACAGCGAAGCACACAUUCUGUAAGUUCUGUGGCAUAACUUCAUUUUACGUUCCACGAGCAAAUCCAGAUGGGUUUUCAAUUACUUUAAGAUGUGUUGACCCUGGGACUCUCACUCAUGUUGAGAUUAAGAACUUUGAUGGGCAGAAUUGGGAAAGGUCAUACAAUCAGGCAUUUGCUUCAUCCUCUCAAGGUGCUGGCUGCUGAAGUGUCGUUCUUUCUACCACCACUCUCCUCGCCUUCCCUCCCUAAAGUAGUACAAUAUUAUGGAAAAACCUUUGUGAUAUCGCUCUUUGGAACAUUCUCAAAGUUGGAAAAUAAAAUUAGCAAUGUUAGCUAAUUGAUUGGUUAUACGUGUAGCUAAUUGAUUGGUUACUUGUGCUAUUGACUUUGUUCAUGUUUUAAUAAAGACUUUCUUCAUCCUUAAUGAGGUACAAGCCUGAGCGCUUACAAAUUUCAGAUUUGAAGGAAGUUCCCCGAGUGAUUGAAGCCUCUUGCAAUCAUCCAAAUAUAGAUAUUCAAGAUUGGAAAGUUCAUGGAUAGUUGCAGGUAGGCUAGUAAAGUUGUUGCCACUCACGUUUAAUACACUUAAUGAAGUUAAGCAGCUGAAAUCACCGGGAAUUGAUUCUUCCUGUAGAUUGCAGUUACUUAAAUCCAACGCUAUAAAAGAGCAUAAUCCUGAGAAUGAAUUCAAUGACAAACUCAAGGAAUUUGUCCUUUUUUCCCGAAACGAGGAUAAAAACAUCAUCCGUGUCUUAAGCAGCUGUCCUUUACAUCCACGAAGAGAUAGCUUUUUAAGCUUUCUGACGAGAGAGAAGGAAGAUGGUGGCUGUCUUCUAAUAGCAGUUCCACUUAUAUCAAGCUCCUCCAAACUUUCUGCAUGACCCAAUUCCUCCAGCCUAUAAAGUUUUCAACAUCCAGAUAAGUCGAAAGUUUCAAGGGCUUUUAAACCAUAUGCACUCUUAGGAAGACUUGCAAGCUUUUUGCUGUCAUUCAGGUUUAAUAAAACGAGGCUUUCGAGAACUCCAACUGAUUGGUCAAUCUCAUGCAAUUUUGUGUAACCUUAAAGAAUCAGCUUCUCAAGAUUUCGGACCUCUCUAAAAUCCGGUGUCUUACAAGAUCGAGGGAGUAACUGAGAUUGAUGAGUUUCAUCUUGUUAAAAUUCUGUUAAGAAGCCGAAGGAAACACUGAAAACCAGUUUCCAUGAACUUUUCCCUUUUUUUUGGUUUAACAAAUGAAACAUACGUAAGUGGUAAUCAUGCCUGCUCUCCCUUCCAUAGUUGUUCAACUUGGCUAUAACUCAAAUCCAUAAGUUCCUCUGGAUGAAAACUCAAUGGCAACGUUUUGAAAGGAUAUUCAUCCCAUUUGAGAAUCCGUAACUCAUUAGAAAGAUAUUGGAGGCUAUGUGUAACAGUGUCAAAUGUGCAUGGGAUGCACACUUCGGCAGGCUGUCCAAAACAGGGCCUAAGGGUGCUGGCAGCCAUGCCAACAGUGGGAAAAAUCGGCAGCGCAGAUUUAUGCGGCUGUAGGUUCGUCAAAGGAAAAUCGGCAGCGCAGAUUGCAUGAGCUUGACGAUGGAAUGUCCAAGUCAGGCAGGAAAACUCGUCAGGGGCAUAGGCUGACGAGAACAGGGGCUGUCGAGGGAUUCGGCAGCGAAGACAUUGGCAGCCUGCACGCAGAUGCGAAUUCGGCAGCGCGCAACAGCUUGUGCAAGUCAGGGGCUCGACUUGGCACGAUCAAAAAGUUGGACGAAGGACUGUCCAAGGCAUACGAAUGACUCAACGGCUGACGCAGCAAGAGCUGGCAGAUGGGGCUGCCAGGUGGGCAUGCAGAACGUGGGUUAGUGGCUGUUAUGGGCAUCCAAGAUCAUGGGAUCAUGGGACAUGUGCUGGAGAACGUGGGGGCAUGGCUGGAAGUGCUCUCAACCCACUAAGAUCAUGGGAGAUCAUGGGGAGAAAACUACCCACUACUUGGUAGAUAAUGGGGCCACUAUGUUCAUGGGUGAACAUGGGUGAGAUAGUGUCCCACUACUUCCUAAAAUGUAGGAAUGAAAGUUGUGCCUUGUAAAUGCUUGUCUAUAAAUAGUGGCUGCAGCUCUUGGUUAUGUAUGCAUGUAGAGCACAAGAUUAGAGAGAGUAGCUUGGUGUAGCAUGCAAUCUUUGUGCAUAGCACACAUACAGAUUUGUGUAAAGUUUUCUUUGUUUACGAGAUCAAUAAAGGUUGGGAAAGAGUUCCUAUAAAGCUUGUUGUGCACUUUGUUUAUCCUAUUCUUCUUGUGUAUUCCGCUUGUCUUCUAACUUGGGUGAGGGAAACACUUAGUUACUAGGCAAACACGAGUGGGAUUGGCGAGGGAAGGCUGAGUCUAGCGAGGGACUAGGCUGCCGCACGGGUAUAUUCGCGGAGCAAAAAAUUACCCCGUGACACUAUGGGAGAAGCGCGCAUUACGAAUAUGAGCAACAAUCUUAGUUUUGUCAUCUUCGAGAAUGAUAGAGCACUUAAUUGUGCCCCUGCUGGUCUUGGUAAGUAUAGGGAUAUGCCUUCAACAUCCUCUGUUCCCUGACAAAGAGGCAAAUUAGCACAAGGAAAAUUGAAGAAUCUAAAGAAAACCAAACACAGCUAUCCAGUUUGAAGAAAGAGUUUUUUCACAGGGUAUCAUACUGUAUUUUUUGUCAAGACAUGAUCAAUAUCCUUAUAAGGCCAUAGCCUCCUGCGUUUUCCUGGUUCCUCUGGAGAUUCUUGCCGAACAAGCUUCCAGCCCAUUUGUUGAAGCAAAUCGUGCAUCCAUAGAGUGUUGUUAUUUGAAACAGUUAUGAGAGAUUUAUCGAUGAGAACUCUUAUUCCAAUAUCCGGGUAGACACCACAGCUGUCCCCCAUUUUUGCUAUGUGAUCUCUGUCGUUUCCCUUAAAAAAACAUGCUAUAUCCAGGAAUAUUUUCUUUUCUGUUUCCUCGAGUCCAUCAAAACUUUUUUGAAGUGUAUCCAGAAUUUCUUUGUCAGGAUUUUCUUUCAUUCUAUCUAAUGCACUUUUCCAUUCUUUUAAAGUCUUGUCAAACAAAAGGAACCCAAUAUUUCAAGAGCUAAUGGAUGGCCAUUCGCAUGAUCUAUAACCAAAGUUGACGGUGUCAUAUACUCUUCUGGAGGAUGGUUAGUUUUGAAGGCUUUCAAACUAAAAAGCUGGAGUUUUUCAUCAUCAUUUAAUCCCCCAGACUUGUAUAUUUUAUCCACCCGAUGCCUGACAAGCACAUUUAUAUCCCUAGUUGUUAUGAUGAUUCUACUCCCUAAACCAAACCAAUCACGCUUUCCAGCCAAUUUUUCUAAUUGGUUCAAAUGGUCCGCAUCAUCCAUCAACAACUAUCAAAACACGUUGACGUCGCAUCCUAGUAUUCAUCAUCUCGGUUCCAUGAUACACAUUCCAUAUUUUCACAUUUUCUGCCUUAAGGAUUUCGCAAAGAACUUGUUCUUGUAAAGUUAGCAUGCCACCUUUUGAUGAAACUUCCCUAACAUUAGCUAGAAAGGUGCUACCCUCAAAUCGGGGUGACGUUCGAUUGUAGUAAGCUCGUGCAAGAGUUGUCUUUCCUAUUCCUCCCAUCCCACAAAUUCCUAUGAUGCGAACAUCAUUAGACCCUAGAUCCAUAUAAGAGCCCAGCUUAACCAAACGUCUAUUCAUUAUAGUAGAUGAUAAUACAGGGCUCAGUAUACUCAGUAUGCUUUGCACAAUAUCUUGUAUAAAGUUUGAUUCAUGCCUAUAAAGUGGAAGGAUGAAUAAGAAAGUUUCGAGUCGUAAUAAACUAUGAAGGAAAAAAAAUAAAUCAGUGUUCGCUGCAUAUUACAAUUAAAAAAAAUGGCAUAUGACAUCAUGUGUCAUACUUAGAAGAAGGGGAGGUCAUGUUAAUGCAGAAAAUAUAAGCGUGCAUCUCUUAGUGCAAAGAUUUAUACAGACAUGUACUAUUUAAAGGAUAGACAGAAGGGCUUAAACUUAUAAAAUUCUGGAAAUUUUUGCAGUAACUGAUAUCUGCCAAAGUUUGAGUCUUUCCCAGCUGAAAUUGUAGUUCUGAUAUUUGUGAUUGUUUGAAAAUGAUUUGGCUUUUAAGCAAACUCAGUGAAUUUUGUUACAGUUUCUUUUUUAGACAGAUGGCUAAAUAUAGAUAGAUAAACUGAAAGAGAAAGAGUUGCAUUCAACAUCUGCUUGUUUUUCAAAGUCAAUGACUGCUGGGCUGCUGGCCAUGUUGAAAAUGUUAUAUAUACUUUUGAAAAAUCAAAUGAAAAUUGUUGUUUAAAGUAUUUUUUAUUUUAAAAUAUAUUAAAGUAAUUUGUUUUAUUUUUAAAAUUUUAAUUUUGAUAUCAGUAUAAUAAAAAUAAAUAAUUUAUAAUAAAAAAAUUAAAAUUUUAUAAAAAAAUGUUAUAAUCGCAAAACAAACAAUCAUAUAGAUUAUAUUUUUUUAAAAAGACUUUAAAAAUAAAUGCAACCAGAAAAAAAUUAAGCAUGUAUAUCUUUGCCUUAAUUUUCCUUUUCUAAAUAUCGUUUAGUGACAAAAUUUACCAUGUAAAAUGCCCUCCAACUUUUAUUCUUUCUUUGUGCCCAUGCUUAUUUCAUUUUAAGUGAUUUUUAGAAUGUUUUUUUGAUAGAAAAACAUCUCAAAAUAAAAUUUAAUUGAUAUCUUUUCAACUCAAACAUGUAUUUGUUAUCAGUGAAAAUGGUGAGAAAUUCAAGGAAAGUGUAAUGCUUCUUUACCAUCAAAACUCAAAGCCAUGCUAUGAGUUCAGAACUUCAUCAGAUGUACUGAUUUAAAAUAUUGGCUUUCAUUGUUACAUGACUGAAGAUGAAAGUCUUUAGAAGUUCACAUUACUUGCAGGUCUAACUAGGUUGGUGCCUCUCAGACCUUUUAAAUAGAGAAAAAAUAAAGAGGGGAUAAAAACAAAAAUGACGAUCAUACCUUUAUCCCCUCCAAAGUCGUUCAACUUUGCUACAGCACGUAUCAAGUUUAAUAAGUUCCUCUGAAUGGACAAUGGCAAGUUCUUGAAAGGAUAUUCAUGCCAUUUGAGAAUCUGUGACUCAUUACAAAGCUAUUAAAGUCUACACACAUUAGGGAAUACUGAUGAUCUUAAUGUGCAUGUCCUGUUGCUGGUAAUUCUGGGUUUAUCUCUUCAAUAUCUUCUGUUCCCUAACAAUUAAACAUACAAUUCCAACAAGCUAAGAAUGCAAGGAAUGGUUUUAUGUGAUGUCUCUCAGUGUAUUUCAUGUCUAGGCAAGGCAGAUAUCCUUACAGAGCCAUAGCCUCGGAAAUCUCUUACGAUUUUCCUGGCUCCUUGGAAAUUCUUGUCGAGCAAGUUCUUAAAACAAAUCUUGCAUCGAUAAUCAGCUGUUUUCCUUAAAGUUGGUCGAGACAUUUACCAAUGAGAACUUGUCCCAAUAACUGGCAAGAAACCUCAGGUGACACACAUUUCUGUUGUAUUCAGCUUUGUGCUUUCCCUUAAAAAACAUGCAAUAUCUGUGAAAAUUUUCUUUCCAUACCCUCUAAUCCAUUAAAACUUGUUGACUUUUAUCCAAGAGUUCUUUUCCUGGAUUUUCUUUCAUUCUUGCUAGAGCGGGACUUAAACAUCCAUGAGUCAAUGAUAUAAGGAUUGAUUUGCAAGGAAUUUUAAUAUAGAGGUUAAAAUGAUUAACAUUUAGAACUUGGAGGAUCACAAAAGUAAUUUGCUUUAAAAAAGGUUGAUUGCAUGGAGCUGUCCUUUCUUUUCAUUGCAUUCCAAGAUUGUCAAUUAUGUUUGUUUUAUUUAGAAUGACUGAUAUAUCUCAUUUCAAUUUAAAAAAUAAAAUAAAUUAGAAUAAAUUUUAUUUUGUUCAAAAUCUUGUCCUGUUCUAGAAAUUUCGUUUAAAUUCCAGUUGAAGUGUUCUGGUUCUAUUCUGCAUGUUAUUUUCCUGUCAAAUAAUAUUUUUUUUGGUUUUUUAUUUUUUUAAAAAUGUUACAGUUUUAUGAUGUCAAUCAUAUUUACAACCCGGUAAUCAUCAAAUGAUGAAUGGAGUGAACUUUGCAUCUGCAGGAACUGGUGCCCUUGUGGAAACUCAUCAAGGAAAAGUACAUGAUCUUAUUGAUUAAGCCCUUCUUUUUGUGUGUGUUUUAGCUUAGGCUUCUUGUUCAUCACAGCUAAAUAGUCCGUAGAAUUUGCUUAUUGGUGCAAAUCCAGCAUUAUUAACUUGGUCUGCAUCUUAAUAUUGUUCUCAUUUGUUCCCAUUCAUUGAAAAGGUGAUAGACCUUAAAACACAAUUACGUUAUUUUAAGGAAGUGGAGAAGCUACCAAGGCAGAAAUUAAGCGAUGAAGUAGCUAAGACAUUGGUGUCCUCUGCUCUUUACUUGUUCAGCAUUGGAAGCAAUGACUACUUUGUACCUUUCAUUACAAACCCCACUGCGCUUCAAUCCUACAACAGAAACGAGUACAUCAGGAUGGUUAUCGGCAACCUGACAUCUGGUAUCCAAGUGAUAUGUUAAUAACCUAAACAUUCUUUCUGUUUUUCAAAUCGAUCAUAGUCUAUAUAUGGUUUCGCUUUACUGUUCCAGGAAAUAUAUAAGGAGGGAUGAAAUUUCAAUCUUGGCUGCAUCGUGCCGUUUUCCUUCCUGAGAGCACUUAAACGAACUAGAACAAGAAGUUCAGGCUGCAUGGAUGAAGUUGCAGUUCUGACAAAGCUACACAAUAGAGAACUCUCUAAGGUCCUUAAAAAGCUUGAGAGACAGUUUAAUGGAUUUAAGUAUUCAAAUUUUGAUUUCUAUACUUCACAUAGUGAAAGAAUAAAUCAUCCCACCAAAUAUGGUAUGUUUUUAUCUACAUGUCAAUUCAGAAUUUCCUGCUUGUGUUUCUCAAGUAACAAGUCUAUCCUAACUGUCAAGUUCAGGGUAUGACUUGUUUCUAAUCCUUCUAUACCUAUUUUAGGUUUUGAUUGUUGCAACUUGAAUGUGAAGAUUUUGAGAUAAAAGUGGCAUGUUGUGGCGCUAGUCCGUAGUGAGGUUCCAAGUGUGGUCUGAACAAGUUCGAAUUAUGCGAUAAUGCGAGUGAAUAUCUCUUCUUUGAUGGAAUUCAUCCAGCAGAUGAGGUUCAUAAUCAAUUUGCAAAGUUGUUGUGGAGUGGAAAUCCUGAUGUUGGAGGGCCUUACAGUGUCAAAACACUGUUUGAGGAAUAGCAUAAAUGAUAAAACAAGAUGUACUUUUUUCCAGAUGCUGUAUUAGUUAACCCAGAAGCCAAAGAAUACUUGCUUCUCUUUAUUCUAUCUUGACUUGGAAGAAAUGACAUUAGAGGUGAAAGCAGAGUUCUGUUCUUGAGUGGAACACUCACAGGAAUUAGAAAGAUCAUAUCUUGGUUUAGUAAUGCACUAAUUUACGAUGUAUCUGAUCAGCUCCUCAAAAUUCAAGAACCCUCUAAAAUCUAAAUCUGGUCCUUCUGAAAAGAUUCCGGGAGUGGCACAGACUUGAUAAUUUUCAACUUUAAAUUCCUGCUCAGAAUGAUAAGGAAAUACUUGACAUCUUAAAGCUUUCUGAAAGAAGAGAUGCUUAAAAUUCUGUUGGAUGUGUGGAAACAAUUGCUGGACCAGAAUGCCAUCAACACGGGUAUUUCUUCACGUACAAAAUUGCACUUAUCGAUUAUGACCUCUUUGAGAGCUCACAAGACCAACACCCUACCGGCAAGAAACUAAACAAUUGUAGUCCUUUAAGGUUUGGUUCAACUUCACAAGUUUGAAAUUAAUGAAUAAGUUCUUUACAACCUCACGCAGAGAAGCCAUCGGCAAUAGACUCUCUACGAGUAACAAAGGACCAAAGCCAACGACACCUAGAUUUAUCAGCAAAUAUGAGCAAUAAAGUAUGAUCUACCUGUGUCUCAUUCCACUGCAGAAAGUACUGCAGUCAGCUACAGACUGAUUAAAGACAUCAAAGGUAGCUGUAGAAGCUCUCUUGUAAUGAAGCAGCAAAUUGUUAAACCUUAAUUCUGAAGCAGCUUUACAAAAGUUAAAUCAAACAAUAUGUUCAAGAACUAGUGAUAUAGAAGUCUUAGUUCAAGGACUACUAGCAUUUUGACCCAUAGUUCAAGAGUGUUAUGUACCUUUUAGCCUUUAAUUUAUCAGCCUCGUUACAUUGUUGGUGUGGCCUUUCGUUUGUAUUUUUCUCAUGUUCUGUUGGUAUGCUCGACUGGAAAUGAAGCUGAACUUCUUCAUAUUCUUAGGCUUUGGAAAUCAGCCUCAACCUGUCCUCUUUUGAGUUUUGUUUUGGCUUUAGAUUUUGUCAGGCAUUGGUCUACUAAGCAAUGUUGUUGUCAUAAAAUGGUGAUUUGAAGUAUUUUGUAGGCUAGUCUUGAUAUGGCUACCUCUUGUAGUCUCAGGCCACUUAGAAGAUCUAUUGUAAUUUUCUCUGUAGUGUCAAUAUUAUCAAUGAUCCAAUAAAAAAGGGACAUGUCAAUAUUAUCAUUGAUCCAAAAACAAAAGGGACAUGUCAAUAUUAUCAAUUUAUCAAGGUUGGACAUUGGCAGCUUGGACUAAUCAUUGAUAUCCAUGUUAAGUAAAAGCACAGACGACCAAAGGAAUGGGAAGCGAUAGAAAUAUAUUGAAAACUUGAAUAAACAGAAAACAAAAACACCAAUGCUGAGUAGCCAUGGUGGGAUUUAUAUGCAUACAUAUAUUGAUGGAAAGUAGUGAACAUAUGUUGAUAUAUAACAUGCAUAUAGGGUUAAGGUCCCUGCAGCUUCACUGAGAAUCCAUUCAUUUCCAGGAUGAAUGAAGCAAAUUUCAUUAAUCAAAGAACCGAGUAGAAGAAAACUGAUCCCAAUAGCAGCAAUUUAUCAAGACUUUUUAGAAUUUUGGAGUAAAUUUGUAUUUUUUCAGCAAUUUAUCUUAGAUACGAGGCAGCUGUUAAAUUCCAAUUCUAUUGCCUUUCAAUCAAUUAUAUACAAACUGAUGCUUUAAGUCAAUGAUUUCAUACACAGUAGCAGAUUAAAAACACACACUGUACGUUCAUGUCCAUCUUCAAAAUCCUACUAUAAGAAUAGGUUACCGAGCCUCAACAAAUUUUGGGUGCUUCAGAACAUCAAAGCAUCACAGUGUUGGUAUGUCUGACUAAAUUCAAUCACAAAUAAUGAUACCCUAAACUCUCUAUCUCUUAACUUGAGAAACUCGGGAAUUAAUGUCCACAUAUGCAGCACUAUACAGUUCAAUGGCUAAACAUAAUUUAAAUUCAUCUUCUUUACCAAUCAUUCUUGGUUAACUCGCAAAGGAGGUUUGCCGCAUGCAUGCAUCCACCUCUCCAGAUCCAUUAGGUAAUGCAGAAGAAAGACAUUUAAGGACAUUAGUGCUUACCUAAGCAUGUCUCCAGACUGUAAUUUUGGUCCACUCAAUACUGGUGAGAUGCUGAAAUUAUUGCCAUCAGCUUGGAACGAAGGGUGCCCAAGAGGCACUGGUCGAUCUGGAAUCUGUGGAACUUCAAUAUCUCCUUCUAACAUUUUCAGCGCAUCCAGAAUGGUUGGCCUUAGAGCCACCAUUAUAUGAGCACACAAAAUCCCAACCAGCACAAACCUUUCCAUUGUCCCCUUCGGAUUUGAGUUUGAAGAAUCACCACCUCUCAACAAAGAAGCAUCCAAAGCCUGUUCCACUUUUCCAGCUUUCACCAAUGACCAGGCCCAGUCUGUGAUCAACAACGCACGAGGUGACCCUGAAGAAGACAAAUCAAGAGCUUUUCUCCCACACAUUAUCUCCAAAACAACCACCCCAAAGCUAUAAACAUCGCUCUUCUCAGUCAGUUGACCAUAAAGAGCAUAUUCGGGUGCUAAGUACCAAUGAGUUCCAGCCACUCUUGUAGUAAGAUGAGACUGCCCUUCCCUACUUUGCUUUGCCAACCCAAAAUCGGCAACUCUUGCUCUCAUAUCAGCAUCUAACAAUAUAUUUGUCCCCUUGAUAUCUCUAUGAUAUAUUCCAGGCUUGACUCCAUAGUGCAAAUAAGCUAAUCCCCUUGCCACAUCCAAAAUUAUGCUCUUUCUUUGAGGCCAACUUAACAAUUGCUUUUGAAUUUGAUUAACCGAUGAUGGAAAUAAAUGGUCAUCAAGAUUCCCAUUUGACAUGUAAUCACAAACAAGAUACCUCUGAUUGCCUCUCUCAUCAGAAUUUACAUCAUCGUCAAUCACACAGCACCCUCUGAGUGGCACCAAAUUCCUGUGCUUCAAGUUGCUAAUAAUCUCAACCUCAUUGCAAAACUCUGCAUCACCUUUAAAAUCAGAUUCUAUAACCCUUUUAACAGCCACCACAGUCCCAUCAGAUAAAACCCCCUUGUAAACAAAACCAAACCCGCCUCUCCCAAUAAAAUUCUUCUGCGAGAAAUUGUCUGUUGCCUUCUCAAGAUCCUGAAUUUUAAACCAAAUUGACCCUGUAUUCGGCCUCAGUUUAGGCCUAGACCCUUGUUGUUCAUCUAGUCAAAACCAAAGCCUAGAUUCUUUUUCCUUCUCCAUUUCUUAUCAUACCAAAGAUACAAUCCUAACAAACUAGAGAUUACGAAAAUAGCAACACCAGCACAAGUCAAGCCAAAAACAAGAGCAGAAUGAGAAUUGCUAGCUGAACCAACACUUGAAUUCAAUUCCAAACCAAAUAUACAUGAAACAACACCAUCACUUUCAGGACCAAACUCGUUAACAAUACCAGCAGCAUAAAGAACAGCAAAGUAAAAACAAUCUUGAGCAUGAGUUUGAUUACCAUCAGCAUACACCAACAACGACUGUACUGUAAAACCAGCUCUAAGACAAGAAGCACAAGCUGUUUUUACUUUGCUCAUAGAUGGAGUAUCCUUCUAACACCGCUCCUGUAUUACCGGUCAUGAACCCGGGAUUCGGGUCGUGAUAGUUGGUGUGGCCUUUCGUUUUUAUUUUUCUCAUGUUCUGUUCGUAUGCUCGACUGGAAAUGAAGGUGAACUUCUUCCUAUUCUUAGGCUUUGGAAAUCAGCCUCAACCUGUCCUCUUUUGUGUUCUGCUUUGGCUUUAGAUUUUUUCAGGCAUUGGUCUACUAAGCAAUGUUGUUUUCAUAAAAUGGUGAUUUGAAGUAUUUUGUAGGCUAGUCUUGAUAUGGCUACCUCUUGUAGUCUCAGGCCACUUAGAAGAUCUAUUGUCAUUUUCUCUGUAGUGUCAAUAUUAUCAUUGAUCCAAAAACAAAAGGGACAUGUCAAUAUUAUCAAUUUAUCAAGGUUGGACAUUGGCAGCUUGGACUAAUCAUUGAUAUCCAUGUUAAGUAAAAGCACAGACGACCAAAGGAAUGGGAAGUGAUAGAAAUAUAUUGAAAACUUGAAUAAACAGAAAACAAAAACACCAAUGCUGAGUAGCCAUGGUGGGAUUUAUAUGCAUAAAUUUAAUAUUGAUGGAAAGUAGGGAACAUAUGUUGAUAUAUAACAUGUAUAUAGGGUUAAGGUCCCUGCAGCUUGACUGAGAAUUCAUUCAUUUCCUGGAAGAAUGAACCAAAUUUCAUUAAUCAAAGAACCGAGUAGAAGAAACCUGAUCCCAAUAGCAGCAAUUUAUCUAGACUUUUUGGAAUUUUGGGGUAAAUUUGUAUUUUUUCAGCAAUUUAUCUUAGAUACGAGGCAGAGGUUAAAUUCCAAUUCACAGUAGCAGAUUAAAAACACACACUGUACGUUCAUGUCCAUCUUCAAAAUUCUACUAAGAAUAGGUUACCAAGCCUCGACAAAUUUUGGGAGCUUCAGAACAUCAAAGCAUCACAGUGUUGGUAAGUCUGACGAACUUCUAUCACAACUAAUGAUACCCUAAACUCUCUACCUCUUAACUUGAGAAACUCAGGAAUUAAUCUCCACAUACUGAGCACUAUACAGUUCAAUGGUUCAACAUACUUUAAAUUCAUCUUCUUUACCAAUCAUUCUUGGAUAUGCAGGUUAACUCGCGAAAGAGGUCUGCCGCAUGCAUGCACCCACCUCUCUAGAUCCAUUAGGUAAUGCAGAAGAAAGACAUUUAAGGACAUUAGUGCUUACCUAAGCAUGUCACCAGGCUGUAAUUUUGGUCCACUCAAUACUGGUGGACUAUUUUGAUAAAUAACUGGGUUUUUAAGUGAACACCUGUUGAACCACGGUCAAAACCAGUCAAUAGUCCAGAGAAACAGUUUUGGAAAGCCUAAUUCCCGUUCGAUGAUUUCACGAUUCCAUCAAUCACUUAUCAACAAUUUUUAAUUAAAUUUAACAAAAUUAAUUAAGGGGAUUUUUGAGAAAAUCUUUGUCGAUAUACAAUCAUCGAUCUUUUGAUCAAAUUUUGAAGUCUACCUAUGAUCAUCAGCAGCUACGACAAAGUGGAAGAUUCGACUUCACCAUUGACAUAUAUAAAGAUUUUUUAUUACUAGAAACCUGGGUUUCUGUAGAGAUAUUAAAUGAAGUUAUAUUUACCACUUGACAAUUACCUUUUAUGGAAGAGCCUAGGCAUAUAUGGCCAUGGGUUGUAAGACUCUCCACCACAUUUUUACAAGUGUUUUAGGCCCAUUAUUGGUCAUUCGGCUAAGAAACACACAUGAAAUCCUAUAAAAUGUACCCAAAAAAGAGCCUCAAAUAUACACACACACAUUCUCAGACAGCUGAAAGCAGCAUUUGUUGCCAGCACGAGGCUUGAGCAACAGUCCUACAGCCAGCAAAAUUGACUUUUUUUUUCUUCAGGUAAAUCUCUUUGCUUCUCUUCUUAUCGAUGUUAAUGAUAAUCUUCUGUUAUAUUAUAUGUUGUUUCUCUGUCUGCUAAAUUCAGUUACAUCUAUUGUGGUUUGGAAUUUAUAGAUACUAAAGAUGUUAGUUUAUCCUGGCAACUAUAUAUGUUGGAGUUUAGAUCAACAAAGUACUGAGAAAGUGUUUGUGGGUUCGAUUCAAUAAAGAAGAUUUAGAAGGACCAAGUUGGUGAUAUAGGAGGACUGUUACUGCUUUAGGCAAUGGAAAGAAAUGCAUGAUCUAUUGACAUGUGUUUCUAAUAAGAAGAAAAGGAUUAGUGUUUGAUUGAUGCAUGUAUGAUCUAUUGACAUGUGUUCAUAACAGGGGGACUUUUUGUAGCUUCGGUUUCAAAGCUGCUACUAGGGAUCUCCGGUGGAAUUUUGAGCUGGGGUUUGAUGGGGUAUUUGAAGACGGGGAUCUUUUUUCUUGCUGUUUUAGGUCAGUACAGUAGAUUGGUGAUUAUUUCUUAGAGCGAGAUUGGUUGAAGGGCGUGUCAAUAGGUGCAUGGGAGGGAUGGAGCUGGCUCUUGGAAAAGCACCAUUAGUGAUUGGAAAGUCUUUCAUCUGAGGUCGGAGAUGGGUGAAGGAACUUGUUGCGACAAGUGUUUGAUGUGGUGAAGAAGAAAAGGGUAUUGAUAUUUAGUUAUAUUGUGAACGAAAUAGACUGAAAUCUAAUGAAGCUAAUUGAUUUCUUUCGGCCAAUAUGAAGUGUGUUGAUAAUAGGUAUUGAAAAGUUCUAGGUGGUUUUCCGCGCAUCCAAGACCCAAGCAUUUCUCACUUCUGCAUAUUUAAGGAUGCUGAAAACAAUGCCCAUUAGACCUCAUUUUCUCUUUCCAUCUUCCCAUUUUCUUAGUUUUUCUCUUAUUGUAAUCGGUGUUCAAUGAAGUUUUCUAAAAACUUGGUUUCCUUCUUGUUUCCAUUUACCAAUUUCCACCUGAUCUGGCUUAAGCAGUUGUUUCUAAUGAAUUCUCAAUGUGUAGCAGAAAUUACGCUUGCUUGUUGGAUAUUAUACAUAAACACUUAAACUUUGUCCCGCCAUCAUUAUUUGUAAGCUUAUAAACAAUUUCAUAUCAUUUGAAUCGGCGUCCUUCCCCUUAGCUACUGAAUCGUAAUGUAAUUUCAAGUGAAAACAAAUUCCACACCUGCAUUUCUCAGGAGAGAGUAUUUCAGCUGACACAUUUUUCAGUCUGGGACUCUAUUUCUGAAUACUUGCUAUCCCAUCGCUGACUGCUAUGUAUUGUUUGCAUAUUUGUUUAUUGAUUGCAGCCACCAGAUUCAUCCAGGAGAAGCCACCAUUUCCAACCAGUGCUUUCGUGAAUGGAAUCAGACAUGGUUAUCCAUAAUGGAGGAUGUCAUUGCAGGAGAGUAAGGUGGCGAGUCCAAGCACCAAGUAGUGUUGUCGCUUGGAACUGCAACUGUUCUGAUUGUUCCAUGAGGGGAAACAUUCAGUUCAUUGUCCCUUCUGAAAAGUUUGAGCUUCUUGGAGAUUCCAAAGAAUUUCUUACAACCUACACUUUUGGCACACAUACAGCAAAGCACACAUUCUGUAAGUUCUGUGGCAUAACUUCGUUUUACGUUCCACGAUCACAUCCAGAUGGGGUUUCAAUUACUUGCAGAUGUGUUGACCCUGGGACUCUCACUCAUGUUGAGAUUAAGCACUUUGAUGGGCAGAAUUGGGAAAGGUCAUACAAUCAGACAUUUGCUUCAUGCUCUCAAGGUGCUGGCUGCUGAAGUGUCAUUCUUUCUACCACCACUCUGCUCUCCUUCCCUCCCUAAAGUAGUACAAUAUUAUGGAAAAACCUUUGUGAUAUCGCUCUUUGGAACAUUCUCAAGUUGGAAAAUAAAAUUAUCUAUGUUAGUUAGCUAAUUGAUUGGUAUAAGGGAUAUUACUUUUUUUCAUGGAAAUAUAUUUAAUUUUACUAAUGAUUUUAUUUGUCUAAAGUAAAGAUAAAAUUUUUAAAAUAAAAAUAUUUUAUAAAAAAAUUAUAAAGUUAUUAUAAUUAUGAGAUUUCUAUUAAUAAAUAUUUAUGAUUAAUGUUGUAUUAAAAUUAAACAUUAAUUAAAAUUUUUGAGAAUAAUAUAUAUUAUAUUUUUUUAUUUUAUUCUUUUAUUUUAUAAAAAAAUAAUUGUUUUUAUAAACUGAAUAAAUAUCUAAAACUAAUAUACAUGUUUUUUUUUUUAAUUUUGUUAUCAAUGCAUUCAUCAACAUCUUCUACUUACUUCGUAAAAUGUACUUCCAUUUGGAAUCGAUCAAAUGCAUAAUUGAACUGAGUAUGUUUAAGGUUAGGUUUUCAAGGAAAUAACAAUUUUAAUGAUUUUAGAAACCUCAACGUUGCUAAUCAAUAGAGCUUGAUAGACUACAUAAAGUUCCAUCAAGUCCAAAUGAAGUUGGAACAAAAGCUAACUCCUCGAACAACGUUGCUCUGCCUUUUCCACUGAUUCUGCUUCAUCAUUGUCAGAGCCAUCAUAGGUAAGAUACCAUCCAGUGCUGAUUUUCUCAAAUUCUUCACGUAGAAAAUUGAAAUUCAUAUUUGAGCUGAAAAAUCGGUCAAAUAUUGGGAAGAACUCUAGUGCAUCGUCCUUGUAAACGAAGCGAACGCCACACUUCUUCACAUGGAACUGUCCACUCAAGUCUAUGAGCUUAACUUCAAUGUAAUGCAUGUUCUUGGUUGUAUCCUGCCAAUCCAUAUCAAAUAAUGCACAACGAGGCAAAUAGAAGAGCCAUGUGUGAUCAACCUGGUUUUCUACAUAACCAUUUUCAAGUACAUAGGUGUGUGAGCAAAAGCCCUCUAUUUUUUUCUCGUUAUGGCUCCUGAUCACACUAGCACAAUGAAACUGAAUAUUGCAGAAGUUAGAAAAUGAAUGGUCACGGUUUACAUACACAGCAUAAAAAGCAAAUCCCACCCAAUUCCUAUCACGCCAAACUGGUGGCAGCUGUAUAGUUAUUGAGUAGCCCAAACUCUGAUAGUCGAACCACUUUGGAAUUUCACUUCCAUAAACAACAAUGUCAGAUCUAGGUGCUCCAUUAACCAGCUCUCGAAAUCUAAGAAAACCCUUUGGGAGUAAGUGACAAGAGUAAGCAAACGUGAGACAGUUACCGAAAUCAACCAGGCAUUUCAACGACAUGAGAAACUGAACGUGGCUAAGGCCUUGAUUCUCAACUAAAGAAAAGCUAUCGGCACGAUUUAACUCCGGAGUUUGCAAGCUGCACUGGUUCAAUGUCUCUGGUAACGUUUCCAAUGAGGUACAAGCCUGAGCACUUACAAAGUUCAGAUUUGAAGGAAGUGACUCGAGUGAUUGAAGCCUCUUGCAAUCAUCCAAAUAUAGAUAUUUAAGAUUGGAAAGUUCAUGGAUACUUGCAGGUGGGCUAGUAAAGUUGUUGCCACUCAUGUUUAAUACACUUAAUGAAGUUAAGCAGCAGAAAUCACUGGGAAUUGAUUCUUCCUGUAGAUUGCAGUUACUUAAAUCCAACGCUAUUAAAGAGCACAAUCCUGAGAAUGAAUUCAAUGACAAACUCAAGGAAUUGUCCUUUUUUCUCGAAACGAGGAUAAAAACAUCAUCCGAAUCUUACGCGGCUGUCCUUUGCAUCCACGAAGAGAUAGCUUUUUAAGCUUUCUGAAGCGAGAGAAGGAAAAUGGUGGUUGUCUAAUAGCAGUUCCACUUAUAUCAUGCUCCUCCAAACUUUCUGCAUGACCCAAUUCCUCCAGCAGUCCAGCCUAUCCUCAAGUUUUGAACAUCCAGAUAAGUUGAAAGUUUUGAGGGCUUUUAAACCAUAUAUACUCUUAGGAAGACUUGCAAGCUUUUUGCAGUCUUUCAGGUUUAAUAAAACGAGGCUUUCGAGAACUCCAACUGAUUGGUCAGUCUCACGCAAUUUUGUGCAACCUUCAAGAAUCAGCUUCUCAAGAUUUCGGACCUCUCUAAAACUGGUGUCUUGCAAGAUCGAGGGAGUGACUGAGAUUGAUGCCUUUCAUCUUGUUAAAAUUCUGUUAAGAAGCAGAAGGAAACACUGAAAACCAGUUUCCAUGAACUUUUCCCUUUUUUUUGGUUUAACAAAUGAAACAUACAUAAGUGGUAAUCAUACCUGCUUUCCCUUCCAUAGUUGUUCAACUUGAAUAUAACUAAAAUCAAGUUCGAUAAGUUCCUCUGGAUGAAAACUCAAUGGCAACGUUUUGAAAGGAUAUUCAUCCCAUUUGAGAAUCCGUAACUCAUUAGAAAGAUAUUCAAGGCUAUGGAAGAAGUGAACAUUACGAAAUAUGAGCAACAAUCUUAGUUUUGUCAUCUUGGAGAAUGAUAGAGCACUUAAUUGUGCCCCUGCUGGUCUUGGUAAGUAAAGGGACAUGCCUUCAACAUCCUCUGUUGCCUGACAAAGAGGCAAAUUAGCAAAAGGAAAACUGAAGAAUAUAAAGAAAACCAAACACAGUUAUACAGUUCCAAGAAAGAGUUUUUUCACAGGGUGUCAUGCUGUAUUUUUUGUCCAGACAUGAUCAAUAUGCUUAUAAAGCCAUAGCCCGGUGCGUUUUCCUGGUUCCUCUGGAGAUUCUUGCCGAACAAGCUUCCAACCCAUUUGUUGAAGCAAAUCGUGCAUCCAUAGAGUGUUGUUAUUUGAAACAGUUCUGGUGCAAUGGAUUUUCCCUAAUUUUUAAAAAUCUAACUAAAAUCCUUGAUCCCUCGAUUGCUUUCAAGAGUUCUGGUGCAAUGGAUUUUCCUCUCUUGAGGUUAAGGUCAUCCCUGAAGAUGAUAAUGCCUCUUUGAUGCAAUGCAGCAUACAAAUGGUCUGUGAAGUUCUUGCGAGUGUCCUCACCUCUGAAACUUAAGAAGACAUCAUAAUGCCAUCGAGCAUUUGAAAAAAGGAUGAGAAGGAAAUGAUGAAGAGGAAUCUUUGGCACUCAUGGAAGCCAUGUUCCUUAAAAGAACCAGGUUAAAGCCUUUGCUCAUGAAUAUAAAUUUCAAAUCAGAAGAAAGAGAGAGUACCAUAAAAUGAUAGUUACAUGCCAUUAUUGUUCUUCUCCACAUUACUUUGAGUGUGAGUUCUGUUGCAUGUAUAAUGCAAUAGGAAAGCAAAGAGUAGCGAAUGCAUUGUCAAAGGUCCUUUCUUUACAUUUUGAUACCUUGGAGAUAUCUUUAUCAUUAGCUAAUGGUUUCUGCUUUCUGGGUUUACAACAUCAUCAUGAAGGUAAUUUCAUUCUCUAUCAAGCACAAGAAUCAAAAGAUCUAAAUGGUUCAACUUACCACAUGACAAACUAAUAUUUGAAAGUUACCAGUGCACGAUUCCCUGGCAAGAAAAUGGGCCAUUAACAAACUUCAACCAAAUUGAACACACCAUAACUCUCAAAAUGUUUAUCUAAUUCAUAGAAAUUUUAUGUUGAAGUUGGUUGCUCAUUAAAAUUUCCAAAAAAUCAACGCAAAUUUAGCAGCUAGUAAUGUACCACAAAAUGAGACGAGACAUACAGGUCUUAUAAUAAAGGUCUGUAUUUGCCUGUCUUCAUUGUAAAUUACAAGCAGAUACCAUAAUGCACUCAACAGCUUCAGGCUCUAUAACAGCAAAGAUGGACUCACAGUAUGAAGAGGAAAACGCACGCGCACACACACAUGUCAGUGUAUAUUAUGGCAAGAAUAUCAACAAUAUAUGGCAACCAAAUUGUGACAGAAUAUCUUGUAUUUAUUGUAUUUAUUAUAGACUAUAAAUCAGGGAUUAGAGACAGAAAAUUAGGAAUUAUGACAUGUAUUUAGAGGACUGAAUUCUUCCUUGAGAAAUCAAUCAAACAGAGAACAAUUUUACAUUGAAAUCUGAUAUUUGUGACAUGGUAUCUGAGCCAAUUAUUCUGAUCUAGACCUUUGUUCUUUUCUUCAGUUUACAGACUGAAUUCGUCAGUAUUUGGUGAUUUUUUUUGGGGUUUCCUAGGAUGUCUGGAGAGGCUUUUCUUACUCGAUUCAAUGGCAAAAACUAUGCCAGUUGGGAGUUUCAGUUUCGUAUGUUUGUUAAAGGGAAGGAAUUAUGGGGGCAUCUCGAUGGAUCUUCACCAGCGCCAACCGAUCCACAGAAGCUGAGUAUAUGGACUACCAAGGAUGCGAAAAUUGUUUCUUGGAUACUCGGGUCUGUUGAGCCCCAUAUGAUCAACAAUCUUCGAUCGUUUGGCACAGGGAAGGAGAUUUGGGACUACUUCAGACGCAUCUAUUCCCAGAACAAUUCGGCUCACAAAUUUCAAGUCGAAAUGGAUAUUGCCAAUUACAAACAAGGUAAUCUCUCAAUUGAACAAUUCUAUGCUGGAUUUCUAAACCUAUGGAGUGAAUAUACUGGCAUAAUUUACUCUAAAAUACCGAAGGAGAGUUUAGAAGCAAUAUACCUUGUUCAUACCGAGAGCCAGAGGGACCAGUUCUUGAUGAAGCUCCGGCUAGAAUUUGAGGCCGUGAGAGCUAGCUUGAUCAAUCGAAGUCCAGUACCCACUUUGGAUGAAUGUUUGGGGGAAUUGUUACGGGAAGAACAACGACUCGCCACUCAACACGAGUUGACUCAGGACACUGUCACAGAGAUGAAUGUGGCUUACAUGGCUCAAGGAAGGGGACGACAGAGGGGUGUAAGUGUGCAGUGUUUUAAUUGCAAAGAAUUAGGGCAUAUUGCCAGAAAUUGCAGCAAGAAAUUCUGCAAUUAUUGUAAGAAAGAGGGGCAUGUAAUCAAGGAAUGUCGUCUGCGACCACAGAAUCGACAAGGGUUUACUGUGCAGUCGAAAUUGGGGGCUACUUCUAUGGCUGCUGCUGUCGUGUCCUCAUUGUUGGCACUAGAAUCUUCAUUGUCGGUGAGCUCUUCGUCGAGCACUCUCACUCCCGAGAUGGUGCAGCAGAUGAUAAUAUCUGCCUUCUCUGCACUCGGGAUUUCUGGUAAGAAAAAUAAACUUAACUUUCCCUUGGAUUCGGCACAUAAUAAAUAAUGGUUAAUGGAUUCGGCAGCGUCGAAUCACAUGACCAGCAGUGAAAAUGGGUUGUAUAAUUUGCGAAAAUACAUGGGUAAUCAGCAUAUACAGGUAGCAAAUGGUGAUAAUCUACCGAUUUUAUCGAUUGGUAAUUUGGGGUCUUAUUUCAAUAAUAUUUUUGUGUCACCAAAAUUAUCCACAAGUUUAUUCUCUGUUGGUCAAAUGGUAGAAAAUAACUGUGAAAUUCACUUUGAUCGUCAUAGUUGUUGUGUGCAGGAUCAAGUGUCGGGGAAGGUGAUCGCGAAGGGGCCUAAAGUGGGACGUUUAUUUCCAAUACAAUUUUCUAUUCCUGGUAUUAAUUCUUGUGCUUAUUCUAUUGUCAUUAAUAAUCCUCAUUUUUGGCAUAAGAAAUUGGGGCAUCCUAAUUCUAAUGUAUUGACUCAUCUUAUGAAACAUGGAUAUUUGGGGAAUAAAAAUUCUUUUUCAACAGAAUUUUUGGAUUGUAGUUCUUGCAAAUUGGGUAAAAGCAAAGCAUUGUCAUUUCCUUCACAUGGUAGUCGUGCUUCUAAAUGUUUUGAAAUUAUUCAUACUGAUGGAUGGGGCAUAAGCCCUGUUAUCUCUCAUGCUCAGUAUAAAUAUUUUGUCACGUUUAUUGAUGAUUUCAGUCGUUUCACUUGGAUAUAUUUUCUCCGAUCUAAGGCUGAUGUAUUCUCAAUAUUUCAGGCUUUCGUUGUAUUUGUUGAAAAUCAAUUUUCUACUCAUAUUAAAAUACUUCGUUCUGAUUCCGAGGGGGAAUAUAUGUCUAAAGAAUUUCAGGAAUAUCUCAAAAACAAAGGGAUUCUCUCUCAAAGAUCUUGUCCUUACACUCCUCAACAAAAUGGAGUUGCUGAGCGUAAGAAUCGUCAUCUUUUAGAUGUCGUUCGCACCUUAUUAAUUGAUUCUUCGGUACCUACUCGAUUUUGGGUAGAAGCUCUGUCAACAGCAGUUCAUCUAAUUAAUCGUUUCCCUUCUCAAGUUCUAAACUUUGCAUCUCCAUACUCUAUUUUAUUUGGUGUUAUUCCUUAGUAUGAUUCUCUCCAUGUUUUUGGGUGUGUUUGUUUUGUUCACUUACCAUUUACUGAACGUAAUAAACUUUCAGCCCAAGCUGCUCGUUGUGCUUUUCUAGGAUACAGUAAUUCUCAUAAAGGGUUUGUGUGUUAUGAUGCAAAUGCUCAUAAAAUUCGUAUCUCUCGAAAUGUGAUUUUCUUUGAAAAUCAGAAUUUUUUCCCUUCUUGUCCCUCUACAGAAUCCACUCCUAUCCAGCUUCCCACAAUUGAUGAUGACAGUCCAUCUUAUAUCUUUGAACGUUUUAAGCCAGGAAUUGUAUAUCAAAGACGUCAUCCACCAUCCAUUUUGCCCCUUCCGGACACGGAACCGACAUCUGAUCAUUCCCCUCAACUAAGACGAUCAACUCGAGUUUCACGUGCCCCAAACAGGUAUGGAUAGUCAGCAACUACUAUUGAUAGUACUUUUGUGCCUAAGACUUAUGCACAGGCUUCUACCCAAGACUGUUGGCAACAGGCCAUGAAAAAGGAACUUCAGGCUCUUCAGGAUAAUCACACAUGGGAUAUUGUUUCUUGUCCUACCAGAAUUAAACCUAUUGGCUGCAAAUGGGUAUACACUAUUAAAUUCCAACCUGAUGGAUCUGUGGAACGAUAUAAAUCACGGUUGGUGGCUCUUGGAAAUUGUCAGGCAUAUGGUAUUAAUUAUGAGGAGACAUUUGCACCUGUGGCUAAAAUGACUACCAUACGAACCAUUAUGGCAAUUGCUGCUUCCAAAAGAUGGCCACUUCGUCAAAUGGAUGUAAAAAAUGCAUUUUUACAUGGAGACCUGAAAGAGAAUAUUUAUAUGACUCCUCCUCCUGGUAUGUUUACUCACCCAUCUGAUAAAGUCUGCUGGUUGAAACGGUCCCUGUAUGGUCUAAAACAGGCAUCACAGGCAUGGUUUGAAAAAUUUCGCACUACUCUUCUGAAACUUAAAUUUAUUCAGAGCCAAUAUGAUUCCUCUCUGUUUCUUCAGCAAACUACUACUGGUAUUGUUGCUCUUCUGGUAUAUGUGGAUGAUAUUAUCAUUACAGGAUCUGACAUUCCACUCAUUGAGGAUUUACAACGUUCUCUUAACAGUGAAUUUCAUAUGAAGGAUCUGGGACACCUUCACUAUUUUCUUGGUCUACAGGUGCACUCUAUGUCCAAUGGGAUUUCUCUAAAUCAGCACCAAUACACCCAAGAGAUUCUUCUCUUGGGCGGUCUUGAAUCAGGGAAUAGUGUUCUUACACCUCUCGAGAUUAACUUAAAACUUUGUCAGAAUGAUGGUGACCUGUUACCUGAUCCCUCCAUAUACAGGCAAUUGAUGGGCAGUUUGAAUUAUCUAACCAUUACUCGGCCAGAUAUUUCUUUUGCAGUACAACAAGUCAGUCAGUUUUUACAGGCUCCUCGUCAACCUCAUUUAGCUGCUGUCCGAAGAAUUCUUCGCUAUCUUAAAGGCACAUCUGGGCGAGGAUUAUUUUUUCCUGCUAAUAAUUCAUUAUAAUUAACAGGUUAUAGUGAUGCAAAUUGGGCAGGGUGCAUGGAUACACGUCGAUCUGUUACUAGGUGGUGUAUGUUUCUUGGAAAUGCGUUAAUUUCAUGGAAAAGCAAAAAGCAAGAUCGAAUCUCGAAAUCUUCCACAGAAUCUGAGUAUCGAGCUAUGUCCUCUGCAUGUUCUGAAAUUGUCUGGCUCCAGGUUCUGCUACGUGAACUUGGUUUUCCUCAGCACACUCCUACACCUCUUCAUGCUGAUAACACAAGUGCUAUUCAGAUUGCUACUAAUCCUGUGUUUCAUGAAUGCACCAAACAUAUUGAAGUUGAUUGUCACUACAUUCGUGAAGCUCUUGAUCAUAAUAUUCUUACACUACCUCAUAUUUCCACCGAGCAUCAGACAACUGAUGUCUUUACAAAGGCCUUAUCUCGGCCUCGACAUCAACUCAUGAUUGACAAAUUGAUGCUUCUUGAUCGGCCAACAUCAAUUUGAGGGGGGAUGUCAGUGUAUAUUAUGGCAAGAAUAUCAACAAUAUAUGGCAACCAAAUUGUGACAGAAUAUCUUGUAUUUAUUGUAUUUAUUAUAGACUACAAAUCAGGGAUUAGAGAUAGAAAAUUAGGAAUUAUGACAUGUAUUUAGAGGACUGAAUUCUUUCUUGAGAAAUCAAUCAAACAUAGAACAAUUUUACAUUGAAAUCUGAUAUUUGUGACAACACACACACAAGGCCAUAUCUGACAAUAGUCCCCGAACGGCAAGUACAAAAAAAAACCUUUCUCUAUUUCUAAUAAAAUAGAACAAGAAAGAAGAUUCAACACUGUUUAAGAAUGAACAAAUAGUCUACACAAAUAAGAAUAUAAGCGUGGCAUUUAUGGGGUAAUACUUUAAUGUUGUUAGUUUAACUCUCUCUUUGGUGGGUUUAUCUCCAUUAGUAAAAUAAAUCUACCCAUGAAACAUCAGUGCUAAUAUUCGAACAAUAAACCACAAAAAAUGGUUUCUUUUAGAAAUCCAAAGACAUAAAGCAGAUGACUUUUUGCCCUCUAUGCUGAUUUAUCUCUACACUUCAAUAAUCUAUUCUACUAAAAAAAAAAACCAUUUAAAGGAUAGACAGAAGGGCUUAAACUUCACAAAAUUCUGGAAAUUUUUGCAGUAACUGAUAUCUGCCAAAGUUUGAGUCUUUCCCAACUGAAAUUGUAGUUCUGAUAAUUGUGAUUGUUUGGAAAUGAUUUGGCUUUUAAGCAAACUCAGUGAAUUUUGUUACAGUUUCUUUUUUAGACAGAUGGCUAAAGAUAGAUAGAUAAACUGAAAGAGAAAGAGUUGCAUUCAACAUCUGCUUGUUUUUCAAAGUCAAUGACUGCUGGGCUGCUGGCCAUGUUGAAAAUGUUAUGCUUUUGAAAAAUAAAAUGAAAUUUGUUCUUUAAAGUAUUUUUAUUUUAAAAUAUAUUAAAAUAAUUUUUUAUUUUUAAAAUUUUAAUUUUGAUAUCAGUACAAUAAAAAUAAAUAAUUUAUAAUAAAAAUAAAAUUUAAAAUUUUAUAAAAAAACAUUAUAUCGCAAAAACAAACAAUCAUAUAGAUUAUAUUUUUUAAAAAGAUUUUAAAAAUAAAUGCAACCAGAAAAAAAUUAAGCAUGUAUAUCUUUGCCUUAAUUUUCCUUUUCUAAGUAUCGUUUAGUGACAAAAUUUACCAUGUAAAAAGCCCUCCAACUUUUAUUCUUUCUUUGUGCCAAUGUUUAUUUCAUUUUAAGUGAUUUUUAGAAUGUUUUUUUGAUAGAAAAACAUCUCAAAAUAAAAUUUAAUUGAUAUCUUUUCAACUCAAACAUGUAUUUGUUAUCAGUGAAAAUGGUGAGAAAUUCAAGGAAAGUGUAAUGCUUCUUUACCAUCAAAACUCAAAGCCAUGCUAUGAGUUCAGAACUUCAUCAGAUGUACUGAUUUAAAAUAUUGGCUUUCAUUGUUACAUGACUGAAGAUGAAAGUCUUUAGAAGUUCACAUUACUUGCAGGUCUAACUAGGUUGGUGCCUCUCAGACCUUUUAAAUAGAGAAAAAAUAAAGAGGGGAUAAAAACAAAAAUGACGAUCAUACCUUUAUCCCCUCCAAAGUCGUUCAACUUUGCUACAGCACGUAUCAAGUUUAAUAAGUUCCUCUGAAUGGACAAUGGCAAGUUCUUGAAAGGAUAUUCAUGCCAUUUGAGAAUCUGUGACUCAUUACAAAGCUAUUAAAGUCUACACACAUUAGGGAAUACUGAUGAUCUUAAUGUGCAUGUCCUGUUGCUGGUAAUUCUGGGUUUAUCUCUUCAAUAUCUUCUGUUCCCUAACAAUUAAACAUACAAUUCCAACAAGCUAAGAAUGCAAGGAAUGGUUUUAUGUGAUGUUGUCACGACCCGAAUCCCGGGUCCAUGACCGGCAACGCAGGAGCGGUGCCGGAAGGACACCCCGCCCGCGCUAAGCCUCAAAAAAAUUGGACCAAUCUGGAAAAUACAUAACUAUACUGAAUUUUCACCCAUAAACCAUCCUUAAUUCUGUCUAGAACGAACCAGGGACCGAACUGUAAUUUUCAUAAAGUUCAGGGACUAAAAUGUAAAUUCCCAAAAUUGAGGGACCAAACUGAAAAUAUUCCCAAUCAAUUAUCAAACUGAGAUUCAUCAUCCUUAACCUCAUAAUAACACUGUCCAGAAUCUCAAAAUACAAUUAGGGGUCAAAUUAUAAUUUUUCCCAAAGUUUAGGGACUAAACUGUAAUUUCACAAAUUGAGGGACCAAAUUGAAUUUUCGUCAUCUUCAACCUCAAACCCAGAAUUUCACAGAUUACCUACUGUCAUCACCUGAUUUCUAACACAAUUUCACCAUUCAAAUAAAAUCAUAACUCAAAAUCAUCAUCUUUACCUCCAAUCUCUCACAAUCAACUAAUUAACCAAUUACCCACAACAAUCAACCCAUAACCUUCCAAUUAAUUCAUCAAUCAAACUCAAAACACAAUAUUCAAAACCCUAACAUUUAUCAAAACAGAACUUAAAGCUUAAAGAACACACAUUUAUACAUAAUCAAAAUUACGUUUUGGUCCCUGUUUUGGAAAAUUAUCGUUUUAGUCCAUAAAAUUAGGAGACUAAACCUGGUUUUAUUUUAUGCAUUGGGAUCUCUUGUUUGAGUUGCUUUUGAGUAUAUUUUCAUAUUGUUGUAGGUUCUCCUAACGAUCCUCAAUAGGAUUUUCGGGUCUUUCGUCUGACAUUCCUUUUAAUUCUAUAUUUUCCGGGUGAGUGGAAUAAUCUUUAAUAUGCAUAUAUGAUAAGUAAAUAUGUAUGUUGAUUAUACAAUGAGUACAACUCGUUAAUUCUUUGAAUAAUUAUAUAUGUUGCUUAUUUUCCGAGUACUCAUUUAUUCUUGAAUUUGCACUCGCAAUCUGUCGAACUAUAUUCUAUUUGAUAUGAUAUACGUUUCUUUGAUGAUUAUGUGAAUAUCUAUUAUGCCUUGAUAUGUUGAGUGUUCCUGCUUCUUCAGUUUUGAGUCGGUAUGCCUUGCUUAUCUUUCAAGGCUGUUUGAUUCGAUGUCUUAGGCGCUCCACUAUUACUUUGUUUUGAUUAAGUUUGGAUUUUUGACAAUGUAAUGAGUAUUAUGGAUUAUUGUUUUUGUUUUAAUUACUGAUGAGGAGUUUUAAACUAUCUUCUGGUUUCAUCAGUAACUCCAUGCUAACGGAGAGUAGUUAGCCUGUGUGCACAUAGUAUUCUGUAUGUAUACCUAGCUGGUGAGAGAGGCAUCAGCCUGUGGCGACUGAUCAUCCCACAGUGGUCACCUUCGGGUGUCAUCUGGUCUGGUCACCUUCGGGUGUCAUCUGGUCACCUUCGGGUGUCAUCUGAUCUCUGACAUAUAGUCCACUACGUUAUGAUGAUACGUUUAGUAUGUAUAUGAUAUGUAUAUGUAUAUGUACAUCAAGAUAAAUGAUCUUGCGAACUAUUAAUAUCAAGAAUAUCUAAAAUGUAUAUUAAUUAUUAUUCCCUCACUGAGUUGGUUGAACUCACCCCUCAUUCUUAAUAUUAUUUCAGGUUCUUAGUUUCUGAUAGCAGGUGAACUUUGUUGAGUGUUCCUGCUUCUUCAGUUUUGGGUCAGUAUGCCUUGCUUAUCUUUCAAGGCUGUUUGAUUCGAUGUCUUAGGCGCUCCACUAUUACCUUGUUUUAAUUAAGUUUGGAUUUUGACAAUGUAAUGAGUAUUAUGGAUUAUUAUUUUUGUUUUAAUUACUGAUGAGGAGUUUUAAACUAUCUUUUGGUUUCAUCAGUUUUGAAUAAUAUAAGAUUUCUGAAGAUUAUGAAAUGCUGCGUAUUUUUGAAUAAAUUAUUCUUUUGAUAUGUCCGUUUUGAGGCUUAGCGCGGGCGGGGUGUCCUUCCGGCACCGCUCCUGCGUUGCCGGUCAUGGACCCGGGAUUCGGGUCAUGACAGAUGUCUCUCAGUGUAUUUCAUGUCUAGGCAAGGCAGAUAUCCUUACAGAGCCAUAGCCUCGGAAAUCUCUUACGAUUUUCCUGGCUCCUUGGAAAUUCUUGUCGAGCAAGUUCUUAAAACAAAUCUUGCAUCGAUAAUCAGCUGUUUUCCUUAAAGUUGGUCGAGACAUUUACCAAUGAGAACUUGUCCCAAUAACUGGCAAGAAACCUCAGGUGACACACAUUUCUGUUGUAUUCAGCUUUGUGCUUUCCCUUAAAAAACAUGCAAUAUCUGUGAAAAUUUUCUUUCCAUACCCUCUAAUCCAUUAAAACUUGUUGACUUUUAUCCAAGAGUUCUUUUCCUGGAUUUUCUUUCAUUCUUGCUAGAGAGGGACUUAAACAUCCAUCAGUCAAUGAUAUAAGGAUUGAUUUGCAAGGAAUUUUAAUAUAGAGGUUAAAAUGAUUAACAUUUAGAACUUAGAGGAUCAUAUAAGUAAUUUGCUUGAAAAAAGGUUGACUGCAUGGAGCCGUCUUUUCUUUUCAUUGCAUCCCAAGAUUAUCAAUUAUGUUUCGUUUCAUCCAGAAAUACCGGUAUAUCUCAUUUCAAUUCAAAAUACAGAACAAACUGGAAUAGAUUUUAUUUCUGUCACGACCCGAAUCCCGGGUCCGUGACCUGCAACGCAGGAGCGGUGUCGAAAGGACACCCCAUCUAUGCUAAGCCUCAAAAUAGACAUAUCAAAAGAACAAUUUAUUCAAAAAUACGCAGCAUUUCAUAAUCUUCAGAAAUAUUAUAUUAUUCAAAACUGAUAAAACCAAAAGAUUGUUUAAAACUCAUCAUCAAUAAUUAAAACAAAAACAAUAAUCCAUAAUACUCAUUACAUUGUCAAAAUCCAAACUUAAUUAAAUAGGUAAUAGUGGAGCGUCUAAGACAUUGAAUCAAAAUUAAAAGGAAAGCCUCACAAAACAAGUAAGGCAUACCGACUCAAACUGAAGAAGCAGGAACACUCAACAAAAUCCACCUGCUAUCAGAAACUAAGAACCUGAAAUGAUAUUAAGAAUGAGGGGUGAGUUCAACCAACUCAGUGAGGGAAUAAUAUUUAAUAUACGUUAUAGAUAUUGAUGAUAUUAAUAGUUUGCAAGUCGAUUUAUAUAUUAUACAUAUACAUACUAAACAUAUUAUCAUAAGAUAGCAGAAUACAUGUCAGAGAUCAGAUGACACCCGAAGAUGACCAGAUGACACCCGAAGGUGACCACUAUGGGAUGAUCAGUCGCCACAGGCUGAUGUCUCUCUCACCAGCUAGGUAUACAGAAUACUAUGUGCACAUAGGCUAACUACUCUCCGUUAGCAUGGAGUUACUGACAAGUCCCAUAUCAAGGCAUAAUAGAUAUUUACAGAAUCAUCAAAGAAACGUAUAUCAUAUCAAAUAGAAUUUAGUUCAACAGAUUGCGAGUGCAAAUUCAAGAAUAAAUGAGUACUCGAAAAAUAGAGCAAUAUAUAUAAAUAUUCAAGAAAUUUACUGGUUGUACUCAUUGUAUAAUCAACAUACAUAUUUAUUUAUAUUAUAUGCAUAUUAAAGAUUAUCCCACUCACCCGGAAAAUAUAAAACUAAAAGGAAUGUCAGAUGAAAGACUCGAAAAUCCUAUUGAAGAUCGUUAGGAGAACCUACAACAAUAUAUGAAAUAUACUCAAAACAACUCAAACAAAAGAUCCCAAUGCAUAAAAUAAAACCAGGUUUAGUCUCCUAAGUUUAUGGACUAAAACGACAAUUUUCCAAAACAGGGACCAAAAUGUAAUUUUACCAAAAUUGGAGGACCAAUUUGGAAAUACAUAACCAUACUGAAUUUGCACCCAUAAACCAUCCUAAAUUCUGUCUAGAACGUACCAGGGACCGAAUUGUAAUUUUCAUAAAGUUCAGGGACUAAAAUGUAAAUUCCCAAAAUUGAGGGACCAAACUGAAAAUAUUCCAAAUCAAUUAUCAAACUGAGAUUCAUCAUCCUUAAUCUCAUAAUAACAAUGUCCAGAAUCUCAAAAUACAUUUAGGGGUCAAAUUAUAAUUUUCCCAAAGUUUAGGAACUAAACUGUAAUUCUCAUAAAUCAAUAACCAAAAUAAAAUUUGGUUAUCUUCAACCUCAAGACAAUUCUGUCCAGAUUUUACAGCAAGGUAAAAUUGAAUUUCUUAACCCAUAAAAAUUAAUUUAAACAAAUCAACUCAUAAAUCCUUAUUUUCAACAACAUACUAAUUAAUCACCUAACAUUAAACUCUUAAUAAUCAUAAAUCAAUCUUAACAAUAUAAACUUUCAAUCCUUUUAAACCCUAAUCUCUUCUUUAAUCAUUUCAUAAACAAACUAUAAUAGAAAGUAAUAUGAAAGAGAACCACUUACUUGCUACUUCCACCUUUCUUGAACCAAAAACUCAAGAUCAAAAACUAAACUCUUUGGUUUGAGGAGGGGAGGGUCACGACGGCUACAGGAAUUAGAAGAGAGGAAAUAAAUUAUCUUGCAACUCUUCCUUAAAUACCUAGGUUAACUUAGGUUGGGUUUGGGCUGACUUGGACAUAGGUUUGGGCCAAAAGUCUGGGUCUUACAAUUUCAUUCAAAAUCUUUUCCUGUUCCAGAAAUACCGUCUAAAUUCCAGUUAGAAUGUUCUGGUUUCAUUCCGCAUGUUAUGAUCCUGGCAAAUAAUUUAUUUUUUUGGUUUUUUAUUUUUUUAAAAAUAUUGCAGUUUUAUGAUGUCAAUCAUAUUUACAACCCGGUAAUCAUCAAUUGAUGAAUGGAGUGAACUUUGCUUCUGCAGGAACUGGUGCCCUUGUGGAAACUCAUCAAGGAAAAGUACGUGAUCUUAUUGAUUAAGCCCUUUCUUUUUGUGUGUGUUUUAGCUUAGGCUUCUUGUUCAUCACAGCUAAAUAGUCCGUAGAAUUUGCUUAUUGGUGCAAAUCCAGCAUUAUUAACUUGGUCUGCAUCUUAAUAUUGUUCUCAUUUGCUCCCAUUCAUUGAAAAGGUGAUAGACCUUAAAACACAAUUAAGUUAUUUUAAGGAAGUGGAGAAGCUACCAAGGCAGAAAUUAAGCGAUGAAGUAGCUAAGACAUUGUUGUCCUCUGCUCUUUACUUGUUCAGCAUUGGAAGCAAUGACUACUUUGUACCUUUCAUUACAAACCCCACUGUGCUUCAAUCCUACAACAGAAAUGAGUACAUCAGGAUGGUUUUCGGCAACCUGACAUCUGGUAUCCAAGUGAUAUGGUAAUAACCUAAACAUUCUUUCUGUUUUUCAAAUCGAUCAUGGUCUAUAUAUGGUUUCGCUUUACUGUUCCAGGAAAUAUAUAAGGAGGGAUGAAAUUUGGAAUUUCAAACUUGGCUGCAUUGGGCUGUUUUCCUUUCCUAAGAGCACUUAAACGAACUAGAACAAGAAGUUCAGGCUGCAUGGAUGAAGUUACGGUUCUGACAAGCUACACAAUAGAGAACUCUCUAAGGUCCUUAAAAAGCUUGAGAGACAGCUUAAUGGAUUUAAGUAUUCAAAUUUUGAUUUCCAGACUUUACAUAGUGAAAGAAUAAACCAUCCCUCCGAAUAUGGUAUGUUUAUAUCUACAUGUCAAUUCAAAAUUUCCUGCUUGUGUUUCUCAAAUAACAAGUCUAUCCUAACUGUGAGGUUCAGGGUAUGACUUGUUACUAAUUCUUCUAUACCUAUUUUAAUUUUGAUUGUUGCAACUUGAAUGUGAAGAUUUUAAGGAGAUAAAAGUGGCAUGUUAUGGCGCUGGUCCGUAUAGAGGUUCCAAGUGUGGUCUGAACAAGUUCGAAUUAUGCGAUAAUGCGAGUGAAUAUCUCUUCUUUGAUGGAAUUCAUCCAGCGGAUGAGGUUCAUAAUCAAUUUGCAAAGUUGCUGUGGAGUGGAAAUCCUGAUGUUGGAGGGCCUUACAAUCUCAAAACACUGUUUGAGGAAUAGCAUAAAUGAUAAAACAAGGUGUACUUUUUUCCAGAUGCUGCAUUAGUUAACCAAAGAAAACUUGCUUCUCUUUAUUCUAUUUUGACUUGGAAGAAAUGACAUUAGAGGUGAGAGCAGAGUUCUGUUCUUGAGUAGAACACUCACAGGAAUCAGAAAGAUCAUAUCUUGGUUUAGUAAUGCACUAGUUUACGAUGUAUCUGAUCAGCUCCUCAAAAUUCAAGAACCCUCUAAAAUCUGGUCCUUUUGAAAAGAUUCUGGGAGUAGCACAGACUUAUAAUUUUCAACUUUAAAUUCCUGCUCAGAAUGAUAAGGAAAUACUUGACAUCUUAGAGCUUUCUGAAAGAAGAGAUGCUUAAAAUUCUGUUGAAUGUGAGGAAACAAUUGCUGGACCAUAGUGCUUCUACACGGGUAUUUCUUCACGUACAAAAUUGCACUUAUCGAUUAUGACCUCUUUGAGAGAUCACAAGACCACCACCCUACCGGCAAGAAACUAAAUAACUGGAGUCCUUUAAGGUUUGGUUCAACUUCACAAGUUAGAAAUUAAUGAAUAAGUUCUUUACAACCACGCAGACAAGCCAUCGGCACUAGACUCUCUACGACCACAUUAUAGUAACAAAGGACCAAACCCAACGACACCUAGAUUUAUCAGCAAAUAUGAACAACAAAGUAUGGUCUACCUGUGUGUCUCAUUCCACUGCAGAAAGUGCUGCAGUCAGCUACAGGCUGAUUAAAGACAUCAAAGGUAGCUGUAGAAGCUCUCUUGUAAUGAAGCAGCAAAUUGUUAAGCCUUAAUUCUGAAGCAGCAUUACAAAUUAAAUCAGACAAUAUGUUCAAGAACUAGUAAUAUAGAAAUCCUAGUUCAAGGACUACUAGCAUUUUGACCCAUAUUUCAAGACAGUUAUGUACCUUUUAGCCUUUAAUUUAUCAGCCUCAUUACAGUGUUGGUGUGGCCUUUCGUUUGUAUUUUUCUCAUGUUCUGUUGGUAUGCUCGACUGGAAAUGAAGCUGAACUUCUUCAUAUUCUUAGGCUUUGGAAAUCAGCCUCAACCUGUCCUCUUUUGAGUUUUGUUUUGGCUUUAGAUUUUGUCAGGCAUUGGUCUACUAAGCAAUGUUGUUGUCAUAAAAUGGUGAUUUGAAGUAUUUUGUAGGCUAGUCUUGAUACGGCUACCUCUUGUAGUCUCAGGCCACUUAGAAGAUCUAUUGUAAUUUUCUCUGUAGUGUCAAUAUUAUCAUUGAUCCAAAAAUAAAAGGGACAUGUCAAUAUUAUCAAUUUAUCAAGGUUGGACAUUGGCACCUUGGACUAAUCAUUGAUAUCCAUGUUAAGUAAAAGCACAGACGACCAAAGGAAUGGGAAGCGAUAGAAAUAUAUUGAAAACUUGAAUAAACAGAAAACAAAAACACCAAUGCUGAGUAGCCAUGGUGGGAUUUAUAUGCAUACAUAUAUUGAUGGAAAGUAGGGAACAUAUGUUGAUAUAUAACAUGGAUAUAGGGUUAAGGUCCCUGCAGCUUCACUGAGAAUCCAUUCAUUUCCAGGAUGAAUGAAGCAAAUUUCAUUAAUCAAAGAACCGAGUAGAAGAAAACUGAUCCCAAUAGCAGCAAUUUAUCAAGACUUUUUAGAAUUUUGGAGUAAAUUUGUAUUUUUUCAGCAAUUUAUCUUUAGAUACGAGGCAGCUGUUAAAUUCCAAUUCUAUUGCCUUUCAAUCAAUUAUAUACAAACUGAUGCUUUAAGUCAAUGAUUUCAUACACAGUAGCAGAUUAAAAACACACACUGUACGUUCAUGUCCAUCUUCAAAAUCCUACUAAGAAUAGGUUACCGAGCCUCAACAAAUUUUGGGUGCUUCAGAACAUCAAAGCAUCACGGUGUUGGAAAUUCUGACUAAAUUCUACCACAACUAAUGAUACCCUAAACUCUCUACCUCUUAACUUGAGAUGCUCAGGAAUUAAUCUCCACAUAUGGAGCACUAUACAGUUCGAUGGCUCAACAUACUUUUAAAUUCAUCUUCUUUACCAAUCAUUCUUGAAUAUGCAGGUUAGCUCGCGAAAGAGGUCUGCCGCAUGCAUGCACCCACCUCUCUAGAUCCAUUAGGUAAUGCAGAAGAAAGACAUUUAAGGACAUUAGUGCUUACCUAAGCGUGUCUCCAGGCGGUAAUUUUGGUCCCCUCAAUACUGGUGAGAUGCUGAAAUUAUUGCCAUCAGCUUGGAACGAAGGGUGCCCAAGAGGCACUGGUCGAUCUGGAAUCUGUGGAACUUCAAUAUCUCCUUCUAACAUUUUCAGCGCAUCCAGAAUGGUUGGCCUUAGAGCCACCAUUAUAUGAGCACACAAAAUCCCAACCAGCACAAACCUUUCCAUUAUCCCCUUCGGAUUUGAAUUUGAAGAAUCACCACCUCUCAACAAAGAAGCAUCCAAUGCCUGUUCCACUUUUCCAGCUUUCACCAAUGACCAGGCCCAGUCUGUGAUCAAUAAAGCACGAGGUGACCCUGAAGAAGACAAAUCAAGAGCUUUUCUCCCACUCAUUAUCUCCAAAACAACCACCCCAAAGCUAUAAACAUCGCUCUUCUCAGUCAGUUGACCAUAAAGAGCAUAUUCGGGUGCUAAGUACCCAUGAGUUCCAGCCACUCUUGUCGUAAGAUGAGACUGCCCUUCCCUACUUUGCUUUGCCAACCCAAAAUCGGCAACUCUUGCUCUCAUUUCAGCAUCUAACAAUAUAUUUUUCCCCUUGAUAUCUCUAUGAUAUAUUCCAGGCUUGACUCCAUGGUGCAAAUAAGCUAAUCCCUUCGCCACAUCCAAAAUUAUGCUCUUUCUUUGAGGCCAACUUAACAAUUGCUUUUGAAUUUGAUUAUCCGAUGAUGGAAAUAAAUGGUCAUCAAGAUUCCCAUUUGACAUGUAAUCAUAAACAAGAUACCUCUGAUUGCCUCUCUCAUCAGAAUUUACAUCAUCGUCAAUCACACAGCACCCUCUGAGCGGCACCAAAUUCCUGUGCUUCAAGUUGCUAAUAAUCUCAACCUCGUUGCAAAACUCUGCAUCACCUUGAAAAUCAGAUUCUAUAACCCUUUUAAUAGCCACCACUGUCCCAUCAGAUAAAACCCCCUUGUAAACAAAACCAAACCCGCCUCUCCCAAUAAAAUUCUUCUGCGAGAAAUUGUCUGUUGCCUUCUCAAGAUCCCGAAUUUUAAACCAAAUUGACCCUGUAUUCGGCCUCAGUUUAGGCCUAGACCCUUGUUGUUCAUCUAAAUCAAAACCAAACCCUAGAUUCUUUUUCCUUCUCCAUUUCUUAUCAUACCAAAGAUACAAUCCUAACAAACUAGAGAUUACCAAAAUAGCAACACCAGCACCAGUCAAGCCAAAAACAAGAGCAGAAUGAGAAUUGCUAGCUGAACCAACGCUUGAAUUUAAUUCCAAACUAAAUAUACAUGAAACAACACCAUCACUUUCAGGACCAAACUCGUUAACAAUACCAGCAGCAUAAAGAACAGCAAAGUAAAAACAAUCUUGAGCAUGAGUUUGAUUACCAUCAGCAGACAGCAACAACGACUGUACUUUAUAACCAGCUCUAAGACAAGAAGCACAAGCUGUAAGAUCAGUAAGAUCAGACCGGCAAUCUGAAUCAAGAGAAGUCGAUUUACCAAGUUGAUCAACCCAGUCUUGAGAUGUCUCUAUACGGGCACAGAUGUUAGGUGCUGUAACAAACUGUAAAGGGUUAAAGCAGUGAGAGACAAGAUCGUCGGAAAGAGAAAAGGAGCUGAGCUUUGACUGGUAAUCUUGAAGGCAAGAACUAGAGGUAGCUAAGUUUGGAAGUUGAAAAAAAGAGGUUUCUUUGAGAUGUUGAGAUAGGGCAACGCCAAAGAGGGAGAGUAUGGUUUGGCAACAUGGGGGCUUGCUUGUGCUGUUGGUAUUGUCAUUUUGAGCAAGAGGGUUGAAGUUUCGACAAAGAGUUUGGUUCCACGGGAUUCUUAAGACAUAGUUAAGGUCCAUAGGGCAUAUGUUUGAAGUGGAGGUUUCUGCUGCUGCAGAGGUGAGAGGGAGACAGAAUGAUAUCAAGACAAGAAACCUUAAGAAAUCAAGAUUACUGCUGCCCCCCAUGCCAAGCAUUAGAUUUUGCUAAGAAUAGGGUUGCUUAGGAUUUAUUGUUAUCUUGGCUUAUGAGCUCUGGCUUGAAGUGCAGAGGAGAGGAAGAAGAAGACGAAGAAAUCAUAUGGAAGAAGAGAGGGAAAGUUCUGGUCAAACACUCACUUCAAGGGUUGUGCAGCAGGGAGUUCAGUCGGUAAGCACCAUUCAAAUAAACAAAAAAUAAUUAUCCCAAUUAAUUUUGAUAACAAAAAGUUUGAAAAUCUUUUAAGAAUAAAAAAUUCCGGUAAUUCUUCGGAAUAAAUUUCAAAAUAUUCAGGUAAGGGGGAAAAAAUUUCACGGUAUCCUAAAUUACAUGAACUACCCCAACGCUCACCUUACGUUACUCUGAGUGCUAAACUCAGCUCGCCAAAUUUACUCUAAUAAUAGUUAGUUUUUCAAGUUAAAUAAAAAAAAAGUUGUUUUAGUGAAAUCUAAUCAGACAAGCGUUUUCCAAGUUGUUAAGUAACAUGAUUUGUUUAGUAAUAUAAUAGUGAUUAUUUUUUAAAAUAUUUUUUAUUUUAAAAUAAUAAUUUUUAUAUUAACAUAUAAAAAUGAUGUGAAAUUAUAAAAAAUUAAUUUCUUAAAAAAAUAUGUUUAGACAGUAAAAACAAACCGUAAUUUGCAUGUUGAAUGCUUGGAAGUGGACUAAACGCGCUCCAAAAGGUGGGGUUUGCUUUGACCGUGGAAUAAAAGAUGGGAUGGCGUCACAUGGACGGAAGCUGGAAUGCUUUUACAAAAAGAAGACUGAUUGACGGAGUUAAGGAAGUGUCAGCACAAUGAUAAGUUCACUGACAUGGCAUUUUUGCAACCACUGGAUGAAAUCUUGUGGCUCAUCUUAUCCAUAUCGAUCGACAAUCUCAUCCCUAUUUAUUUAUUUAUUUAUUUAUUUCACUAAUUUUCAGAUUUUCCACCACUUUCUUCCCACUUUUAUUUGCCCUUCUCGAUGCUGUUUAUGUCCAUGUUAUUGGAAAAGUCUUCACAUGAAUUUUUAGGAUUGUGGAAAUUUUAAUUUUUUUAAAAAAUAUAUUUUACUUAAAAAAUAUUAAAUUGAUAAUUUUUUAGUGGUUUAUAUUGAUUUUGAUAUGUUAAUAUUUUAAAAAAAAUCUAAAAUAAAAUAUUAUAUAAAUAAAUUUUUAAAUAAAAAAUAUUUUUUAAAAAAACCUAAACCACAGUAUCAAAUACACAACAAUUAAAUAUCUAUAUAGCAUCUCUAUGGCGGGAAGCUUUGCUAUCUUUUUCCUAUUAGAAUUUUUUUUAUUUUUGAUGCAUUAAUUCAAUACAAUAAAUGUAUUUUUAAAAUUAUUGGAGAAAAAGAGUUUAAUCAAUCAAGAUGAAAACAAAAUUUUAAAAAAUAUAUUUAUUAAAUUGAUAUAAAAUUUUAACCGGAAGAUAAUACAAGUUAUUGAUUUGUUAAGUAAAUUAUGAAUUACCAAAUUAAUUUAGAUUAGUUUUUCUUAUGAAAAAAUUCAUUUAAUUCUUUUGAUAUUAACCCUGCAAAGUCAUCUAAAUUAGAUUUUAAAUCAUAAAAUUACGAAAUUGAACCGAACUUAGCCGCUAUAUUGGAAAGUACUGACCUCAAUGACAGUGACAAAAGAACCUCCCUUAAUGACCUCAAUGACAGUGACAAUCAUGGACCAUUCCUCGUCUUUGGGCUGCACUUGACAUAAGUUGGUCUGCGUUAUUAACUUGGUCUGCAUCUUAAUAUUGUUCUCAUUUGUUCCCAUUCAUUGAAGAGGUGAUAGACCUUAAAACACCAUUAAGUUAUUUUAAGGAAGUGGAGAAGCUACCAAGGCAGAAAUUAAGCGAUGAAGUAGCUAAGACAUUGUUGUCCUCUGCUCUUUACUUGUUCAGCAUUGGAAGCAAUGACUACUUUGUACCUUUCAUUACAAACCCCAGUGCGCUUCAAUCCUACAACAGAAACGAGUACAUCAGGAUGGUUAUCGGCAACCUGACAUCUGGUAUCCAAGUGAUAUGUUAAUAACCUAAACAUUCUUUCUGUUUUUCAAAUCGAUCAUAGUCUAUAUAUGGUUUCGCUUUACUGUUCCAGGAAAUAUAUAAGGAGGGAUGAAAUUUCAAUCUUGGCUGCAUUGGGCCGUUUUCCUUCCUGAGAGCACUUAAACGAACUAGAACAAGAAGUUCAGGCUGCAUGGAUGAAGUUGCAGUUCUGACAAAGCUACACAAUAGAGAACUCUAAGGUCCUUAAAAAGCUUGAGAGACAGCUUAAUGGAUUUAAGUAUUCAAAUUUUGAUUUCUAUACUUCACAUAGUGAAAGAAUAAAUCAUCCCACCGAAUAUGGUAUGUUUUUAUCUACAUGUCAAUUCAGAAUUUCCUGCUUGUGUUUGUCAAAUAACAAGUCUAUCCUAACUGUCAAGUUCAGGGUAUGACUUGUUUCUAAUCCUUCUAUACCUAUUUUAGGUUUUAAUUGUUGCAACUUGAAUGUGAAGAUUUUAAGGAGAUAAAAGUGGCAUGUUGUGGCGCUGGUCCGUAUUGAGGUUCCAAGUGUGGCCUGAACAAGUUCGAAUUACGCGAUAAUGCGAGUGAAUAUCUCUUCUUUGAUGGAAUUCAUCCAGCAGAUGAGGUUCAUAAUCAAUUUGCAAAGUUGUUGUGGAGUGGAAAUCCUGAUGUUGGAGGGCCUUACAAUCUCAAAACACUGUUUGAGGAAUAGCAUAAAUGAUAAAACAAGGUGUACUUUUUUCCAGAUGCUGUAUUAGUUAACCCAGAAGCCAAAGAAUACUUGCUUCUCUUUAUUCUAUCUUGACUUGGAAGAAAUGACAUUAGAUGUAAGACCCAGACUUUUGGCUCAAACCCAAGCCCAAGUCAGCCCAAACCCAACCUAAGUUAACCUAGGUAUAUAAGAAAAAGUUGCAAGAGAAUUAUUGUUCUCUCUUCUAAGUCUUGUGGCCACCGUGACCCUCUCCUCAUCAAACCAAGGAUUUCAGUUUUUGAUCUUGAGUUUUGGGUUUAAGAAAAGUGAAAGUAGCAAGUAAGUGAUUCUCUCUCAUGUUACUUUUAAUUAUGAUUUGUUUAUGGAAGGAUUAAAAAAAAAGAGAAAGAGAGAUUGCGGUUUAUAAGGAUUGGAAGUUUAUAUUGUUAAGAUUGAUUUAUGAUUAUUAAAGGUUUAAUGUUAGAUGAUUAAUUAGUAUGUUGUUGAAAAUAAGGAUUUAUGAGUUGAUUUGUUUAAAUUAAUUUUUAUGGGUUAAGAAAUUCAUUUUUCCCUUGCUGUAAAAUCUGGACAGAAUGGUCUAAAGGUUGAAGAUGACCAAAUUUUAUUUUGGUCCUUGAUUUGUGAAAGUUUCAGUUUAGUCCCUGAACUUUGAAAAAAUUACAAUUUGACCCCUAAAUGUAUUUUGAGAUUUUGGACAGUGUUAUUAUGAGGUCAAGGAUGAUGAAUCUCAGUUUGAUAAUUGAUUUGGAAUAUUUUUAGUUUGGUCCCUCAAUUUUAGGAAUUUACAUUUUAGUCCCUGAACUUUUAAAAAAAUUACAGUUUGGUCCCUGUGUCGUUCUGGACAGAAUUGAGGAUGUUUUAUGGGUGAAAUUUCAGUAUGGUUAUGUAUUUAUAGUUUGGUCCAGUUUUGGUAAAAUUACGUUUUGGUCCCUGUUUUGGAUAAUUGUUGUUUUAGUCCCUAAACCUAGGAGACUAAACCUAGUUUUCUUUUAUGCAUUGAAAUCUUUUAUUUGUGUUGUUUUGAGUUGCUUUUGAGUAUAUUUCAUAUAUUUAUUGUAGGUUCCCCUAACUAUCCUUAAUAGGUUUUUCGGGUCUUUCAUCUGAUAUUCAUUUUAAUCUAUAUUUUUCCGGUUGAGUGGGAUAAUCUUUAAUAUGCAUAUAUUAUAAAUAAAUAUGUAUGUUGAUUAUACAAUGAGUUCCGAGUACUCAUUUAUUCUUGAAUUUGCACUCGCAAUCUGUCAAACUAAAUUCUAUUUGAUAUGAUAUACGUUUCUUUGAUGAUUCUGUGAAUAUCUAUUAUGCCUUGAUAUAGGACUUGUCAGUAACUCCAUGCUAACAGAGAGUAGUUAGCCUAUGUGCACAUAGUAUUCUGUAUACCUAGCUGAUGAGAGAGGCAUCAGCCUGUGGCGACUGAUCAUCCCACAGUGGUCACCUUCGGGUGUCAUCUGGUCACCUUCGGGUGUCAUCUAAUCUCUGACAUGUAUUCCACUACGUUAUGAUAAUAUGUUUAGUAUGUAUAUGUAUAUGUAUAUCAAGAUAAAUUAUCUUGCAAACUAUUAAUAUUAUAAAUAUCUAAAAUGUAUUUUAAAUAUUAUUCCCUCACUGAGUUGGUUGAACUCACCCCUCAUUCUUAAUAUUAUUUCAGGUUCUUAGUUUCUGAUAACAGUUGGACUUUGUUGAGUGUUCCUGCUUCUUCAGUUUUGGUCGGUAUGCCUUGCUUGUUUUGCGAGGCUUUCCUUUUAGUUUUGAUUCGAUGUUUUAGACGCUCCACUAUUACCUUGUUUUAAUUAAGUUUGGAUUUUGACAAUGUAAUGAGUAUUAUGAAUUAUUGUUUUUGUUUUAAUUACUAAUGAGGAGUUUUAAACUAUCUUUUGGUUUCAUCAGUUUUGAAUAAUAUAAUAUUUCUGAAGAUUAUGAAAUGCUGCGUAUUUUUGAAUAAAUUAUUCUUUUGAUAUGUCUGUUUUGAGGCUUAGCGUAGGUGGGGUGUCCUUUCAACACCGCUCCUGCGUUGCUGGUCAUGGACCCGGGAUUCGGGUGGUGACAUUAGAGGUGAGAGCAGAGUUCUGUUCUUGAGUAGAACACUCACAGUAAUCAGAAAGAUCAUAUCUUGGUUUAGUAAUGCACUAGUUUACGAUGUAUCUGAUCAGCUCCUCAAAAUUCUAGAACCCUCUAAAAUCUAAAUCUGCUCCUUCUGAAAAGAUUCUGGGAGUGGCACAAACUUGAUAAUUUUCAACUUUAAAUUCCUGCUCAGAAUGAUAAGGAAAUACUUGACAUCUUAAAGCUUUCUGAAAGAAGAGAUGCUUAAAAUUCUGUUGGAUGUGUGGAAACAAUUGCUGGACCAUAAUGCCAUCAACACGGGUAUUUCUUCACGUACAAAAUUGCACUUAUCGAUUAUGACCUCUUUGAGAGCUCACAAGACCAAUACCCUACCGGCAAGAAACUAAACAAUUGUAGUCCUUUAAGGUUUGGUUCAACUUCACAAGUUAGAAAUUAAUGAAUAGGUUCUUUACAACCUCACGCAGAGAAGCCACCGGCACUAGACUCUCUACGGCCACAUUAUAGUAACAAAGGACGAAAGCCAACGACACCUAGAUUUAUCAGCAAAUAUGAGCAACAAAGUAUGAUCUACCUGUGUGUCUCAUUCCACUGCAGAAAGUGCUGCAGUCAGCUACAGACUGAUUAAAGACAUCAAAGGUAGCUGUAGAAGCUCUCUUGUAAUGAAGCAGCAGAUUGUUAAGCCUUAAUUCUGAAGCAGCAUUACAAAAGUUAAAUCAAACAAUAUGUUCAAGAACUAGUGAUAUAGAAGUCUUAGUUCAAGGACUACUAGCAUUUUGACCCAUAGUUCAAGACAGUUAUGUACCUUUUAGCCUUUAAUUUAUCAGCCUCGUUACAUUGUUGGUGUGGCCUUUCGUUUGUAUUUUUCUCAUGUUCUGUUGGUAUGCUCGACUGGAAAUGAAGCUGAACUUCUUCAUAUUCUUAGGCUUUGGAAAUCAGCCUCAACCUGUCCUCUUUUGAGUUUUGUUUUGGCUUUAGAUUUUGUCAGGCAUUGGUCUACUAAGCAAUGUUGUUGUCAUAAAAUGGUGAUUUGAAGUUUUUUGUAGGCUAGUCUUGAUACGGCUACCUCUUGUAGUCUCAGGCCACUUAGAAGAUCUAUUGUAAUUUUCUCUUUAGUGUCAAUAUUAUCAGUGAUCCAAGAAAAAAGGGACAUGUCAAUAUUAUCAAUUUAUCAAGGUUGGACAUUGGCAGCUUGGACUAAUCAUUGAUAUCCAUGUUAAGGAAAAGCACAGACGACCAAAGCAAUGGGAAGUGAUAGAAAUAUAUUGAAAACUUGAAUAAACAGAAAACAAAAACACCAAUGCUGAGUAGCCAUGGUGGGAUUUAUAUGCAUACAUAUAUUAAUGGAAAGUAGUGAACACAUGUUGAUAUAUAACAUGCAUAUAGGGUUAAGGUCCCUGCAGCUUCACUGAGAAUCCAUUCAUUUCCAGGAUGAAUGAAGCAAAUUUCAUUAAUCAAAGAACCGAGUAGAAGAAAACUGAUCCCAAUAGCAGCAAUUUAUCAAGACUUUUUAGAAUUUUGGAGUAAAUUUGUAUUUUUUCAGCAAUUUAUCUUAGAUACGAGGCAGCUGUUAAAUUCCAAUUCUAUUGCCUUUCAAUCAAUUAUAUACAAACUGAUGCUUUAAGUCAAUGAUUUCAUACACAGUAGCAGAUUAAAAACACACACUGUACGUUCAUGUCCAUCUUCAAAAUCCUACUAAGAAUAGGUUACCGAGCCUCAACAACUUUUGGGUGCUUCAGAACAUCAAAGCAUCACAGUUUUGGUAAUUCCGACUAAAUUCUACCACAACUAAUGAUACCCUAAACUCUCUACCUCUUAACUUGAGAUGCUCAGGAAUUAAUCUCCACAUAUGGAGCACUAUACAGUUCAAUGGCUCAACAUACUUUAAAUUCAUCUUCUUUACCAAUCAUUCUUGAAUAUGCAGGUUACCUCGUGAAAGAGGUCUGCCGCAUCCAUGCAUCCACCUCUCUAGAUCCAUUAGGUAAUGCAGAAGAAAGACAUUUAAGGACAUUAGUGCUUACCUAAGCAUGUCUCCAGGCUGUAAUUUUGGUCCACUCAAUACUGGUGAGAUGCUGAAACUAUUGCCAUCAGCAUGGAACGAAGGGUGCCCAAGAGGCACUGGUCGAUCU